rnacentral:lncRNA from 1 species
CGAUGAUAAUUAAGUAAGCAGCAGUUUCUUGGGACAUCGACGAACGGCGCGGUAGCAGCUAACUAUAACUCUCUACUCAAGGCCUGAAGAAUGCCGGUGGACGGGGACGAGCUGCGGCGUCGCCAUGGAAGGAGGUGUCCUUGAGGUGGUCGGGGGCGCUCUCGUACGAGUGCCGCCUCGCCAGCGAGAGGAUGGUCUUGUCGGCGGCGACAAAGUAUGCCAUCCCGGCGACGGUGCAGACAAUGAGCGCCUGGCCGGUGGGGUUGAGGUUGGCCUUGGCCCACGGCAGCAUCCGCNNNNNNNNNNCAAAGUUUAAAAUUGCCGGCUAUUGAAAAAAGCGGCAUCCUGUAGCAGCGGCAAUGAGCAGGAACAGAUAGCGGUUUUGCUGGAUACAUGCAAGAAUUCCAAAUAUAAGUGCAAGAUACAUGCCAAACUACAGAAAUUCAGCAUCGAUUAACUAGUUGACACAAACAGGAAUAGAAUAACUAAAGCAUUAAGGUCAUCCAUUAAGCCAACAUUCAGCAAUCAUCUCAAGCGACAAAGCAAAUAUAUAGUUCGGUAAACAGAAUGACACACUAUAUAACAGAGCAUUGACUAUCUCACAAAGAUGAACUAGUAAGUUCUGCAGAUAUAUAAUCCAUAAAGUAAAUGGUGCAUUCUCUUAUAUUCAUCUUCAGAAUCAGAAGGAGACUUAUCAGACUCCGAUUCAGAAGAAGAAGAAGCAGCUUGCGGCAUUGUUUCAACACGCAUAGCCAUCAAGGACCGCAGGCUCACAGUCUUGAUUUUCUUCCUAGGCCGAGAAAUCCUCUUCCUUUUAGCUUGUCCCUGUGAUGAUGAUGCCCUGUUUGGUGCCUCUUCCGAUGCAUCUUCAUGAGCUUUCUCUUGUUCUUGAUCAGCUUCUGCAGUUGGUUCUUUCCCAGUGAUGAACUCAUUGUCAUUAUCAGCAAGAACAUCAUCCACUUCUUUCUCUAUGGGAUCUCUCUUUUCGCUUUCUCUCUUGUUCCUUAGUUUAGAGUUGAAUUUCACAAACACAAGAUCCCUCAUCCUGUCAUGCAGCAGCCUAAUGCGCUUCUUUGUAUGAACCUAAGAGUUCAAAAAAAUUAAAUACUUAACAAAUGUAGAAAACAGAAAAACCAAUUGUAUAAACUCCAAAAAAUAUUAUUUGUUACCUGUUCGAAAACAGACCAGUUCCUCUCACAAGCUGAUGAGCUGCAUGUCAAAUUAAGAAUCCUAGAUGCCAAAGUUCUCAAAUUUGGUGUGGUGGUGCCAUGGUUCAGCCACCAUUUUGCUGCACAUUAUACAAGUUAGUAGUUAAAGAAAUGCAAAUAGAAGCAUUUUAUUCAUCAAUCAUAUUAGCUUCACUAAAUAACCUGGAUUAAAAUUCUUGUUUCUCCUUUGCCUUAUAGCAAUCUUAUGGCCGAAAGAUCCUUGCUGAUCUUGAUACAUGUUGAGUUCUUCAAUUACAGUGUCUUGGGUUUCUUCGUCCUCAAUCAUCUUGCAAAUGCAUGUAAUAACAGCAGCUCUAAAUGUUCCAUCAUGCUCAAUCUCUGACUUGUUUGGAUAAUAAUAGUGAGGAUUCAAAUAAUAGCCAGUCAAGUGGAGAGGAGUCUUGAGCUUGCUGUCCCACCUUUUAUCAAUGAUGUCCCAAGCAACUUUGUACUUGCUCUCAUCAUUAUCCAACCUCACAGCUAUAUGUUUCUUUGCCUCAAGCAUUAAUCCAUGGAAGAAUCCCAUUGCAGGAACAUCACUGUCCAUUCUGCGAAGCACAUUAGCCAUUGGCUCAAAGAAAUUAACAGCCAUGUCCACAUGUUUCCAAAAAACUUCAGAUCACACCACUUUGAGUGCUUUUUUCCCCUUUGCCUUUUUCAAGUAUGAACCUAGCUCAUUCAUCUCAUGUGAUCUGAAGAGCCUUGUCAAUUUCUUCUUGUUGUCUAGCAAACUUUUUAGAUUUAACUAAGCAGUGGCAAACCGAGUAACACCAGAGCGAACCAAGUCCUUCCCAAGAAAUUUCCUCAUCAAAUCCAAUACCCUUGUAUGAGCAUACAAGAAGCUAGUCACUUCUCUUGCACUUGAAAUAGUUUUUUCAACUAGUCCAAGCUUCCCAAGAUCCUCCAACAUGAGAUCUAGGCAGUGAGCAGCACAUCCAUUCCAAAAUAUGGAUGGUCUCUUUGCUGUUAGCAUACUAGCUGCUGAUACAUUCACAAUAGCAUUAUCAGUCACCACUUGCACAACAUUUUCUUCACCUAUAUCUUCUAUGCAUUUGUCCACCAAGUCAAAUAUGUAUUUGCCAUCUUUUCUGUCACCGGAGCAGUCCACUGAAUCAAUGAAGCAAACACCAUGAGCACUGUGCACAACUAAAUUCAUUACUCCCCUGCCCUUCUUAUCUGUCCAUGCAUCAGUCAUAACCGUGCAACCUGUGAGCUCCCAUGAUUUCUUAUGAUUCUUGAAUCCAUCCAACACCUUCUGUUUCCUCUUCUGGAAAAAUGGUCCACUUAUCUCAUAUGGACUAGGCCCUCUCAAGUCCUUGCCAAACUGUCCGAUGGCCUCAAGCAUAUGAGCAAAGCUAGGGAGGGUGACAGUGUUGUGAGGAAUGCUAGCUUCAUAGAAAAACUGGCAAAUAUACUCACAAACUCUGUCCCUUUUCUCUUCUCUUUUCAUAGUUGACAACUUUGAUUGGACCUUCUGGCUAACAUUGAGUCCAAUUUGAUUAUUGCGAACACACUCUUAUAUAGAUGUUUUCUUGUAAAACUUAUCAAUCGUGGCACUGCCACAACCUACCACAGCUCUAGAACCACUCAUCCCACUGCCUCUUGUUGAAUUCAGCAACACAACAUCAUUCCUCUCGUAGUCAGAAUCAUCCCCACUACCCCUUUCAUCAUCUGAGUUUUCUAUAUGAAUUCCAGAUCGAACCCUUUGCACUUCAUCCUUCUUCUUUUGCUUUUCACCACUCUUCUUCGUAAGAAAAGCAAUAAUCUCUUCUUUUACAUCAGUUGGAACCUUCUUACAUUUAACAGCAUUGAAGCCACGAAUGCAAGCAAGAUGGCACUUCAUUCUAGUAAUUCCACCUUUCAAUAGCUUGUCACAAAAAUUGCAAUGCAAAUGAUACUUCUUGUUCACAUCUGGGGCAAAACAGUAUGCAUAUGCAGGGUCAUCGGACGUUACUGCUUGCCUUGCUUGUGUUUGGGGUACCGAAGGAAAAGCGGCACUUGAAUCACCUAUAGAAAAAAGUAGAAAAUAAUUUAGUUAACCUGCACCGCUACAAAUGACCUAUUUUGAUUGAUAAUUAAUCUAUCUUAAUUAAGGAGGAAUUAAAUGAUAUAUGCCACAAUUAAUUACUUUGCUUCAGAAACAUCUAAAAUUGUAAAUUGUUGUUGAAGCAUAGGAGAUUUUCCAUGGUUUAUUUGAUUGAUAAUCUACCUACAUGUAUAAUCUACUGCAAAUAAUAACUGCCUACUUGUUAGAUUUCAGAUCUGGGAGGUGGAACAUAAACUUGUUAAAUUUCAGAAAGUAGAUGUUAGGUAGAGUAUCUACAAGGGAAAAUCACUUUCAUCACACGUACUCCUCACAUCAACCAAAUAUUAUGAUGGCCAACGACACUUAGCAGAACAGAGAUGAGCAGAACAGCGAGUAGAAGAGAUACUCACAUAGUACUAAGAUAAUAGAUGAUGAACUAAUGAAAGCCAGACUAGGAAACUUGCCUCCAUGAUUCUCUGGCUCCGGCUGAGACAUGGUUCUUCAGUUCUACUUCGCAUCCGAGUUGCAAUCUCGCCGCCGCCGUCGCGAGAGAUAUAGAUCGAGGAAGAGCAGCGGAGAAGUUUGGCUUUGUCAGGGUUAGCGCUAGGCUGUUUUGUACCUCCUUUUGGGCCUCUGCGUGGUGAUUAUGUAAAAGCCCAUAAUUCACGUACUCCCUUGUGGGCCAAACAAGUAAUAGCGGCGCAAUUUUUUCCAGUAAAUAGCGGCAAUGACUGGCUAAUUGCGGCCUUUUGCGGUGCAUUCACUGUAGCGCAAAAAAGGGGCAUUGCGUUGCCCCCUGCUCUUCCAGCCGCUAUGUCCGGCAAAUAGCGCCACAAUAGCCGCUAUGUCGGACGUUAUAAGGCUCACGACGAGCGUAUGAGGUACAGUCUCGGGGACGGGAGGAACGAUGAGCUUAUCAUGCUCGCGCGGGCUCANNNNNNNNNNNNNNNNNNNNNNNNNNNNNNNNNNNNNNNNNNNNNNNNNNNNNNNNNNNNNNNNNNNNNNNNNNNNNNNNNNNNNNNNNNNNNNNNNNNNCGGAGGAGAGAAAGAGGGAUGAGCAGGGGAGAAAGGGGAAAAUGAAGAGAGGGGGAGGAGAUAAGAGAGAGGGGGUCGUGCUGGUGUCGUGGAGGCGAGGAGGAGCUCCACGGCGAAGCAGGAGGUGGCUGCCGUGCUCGCCUUCUCCUUUGCCUAUUGGCAGGAGGAGGAAUACGACAGGGGUGGCUGGAGUGGGCUGGGCGUGCCACUUAGGCGCGAGGUAAGCUUCUGCUCCCUUUUCAGUUUUUGUAUCUUUUCUGUUUCUGCCGUUUGUGUUUAGGCUUUAAAUAAAUUAUUUAGCCAUUUUAUAAAACCCUGAAAAAUAUAUUAGGUGGCAUAAUAUAAAUAUCUAAUGCCACACAUUUAUUUUCAGGAAUUAUGGAACUAUAUUUUAUAUAGAGAUAAUAUAAUUCCACUCCAAAUAUUUGCUUGAUUAAAUCAAAAGUCCAACACAAAAUGUUUCUGUGACCUAAAAUAUUAGUUGACAUUUUUAUAUCAUGCCAAUAUUUUAAUAAAAUAUUCGGAACAUUUUCUUGGAUCAUUUUAUAGCAAUUUUUAUAUUGCUUAUUUCCCAAAAUUUGGUUCCUGAGGCUUGAUCACUUCCCCAUUUCAAAUUCAAUGCAAUUUGAAUUCAGCUUGGCAAGUAAAGUAAAACUAGGACUGUGACAACUCACCCCCACUAAACAAGAAUCUCGUCCUGAGAUUCAGGCGUAGUCGGGAAGAGAUCGGGGUACUCAAGCCGAAGACGAUCUUCGCGCUCCCACGUUGCUUCAUCCUCGGAAUGAUGAGACCACUGAACCUUGAGAAACUUGAUGUUGCGAUGUCGAGUGCUUCGCUCGCUUUCAUCAAGAAUACGAACGGGAUAUUCUCGAUAUGAAAUGUCAUCUUUGAGAUCAAGCGUUUCGUGGUCCACUUCGCGGAUAGGAUCCUUGAAGUAACACCUGAGUUGAGAAAAGUGGAACACAUCAUGAACUUUGGAAAGUUGCGGAGGUAGUUCCAAUUGGUAGGCAACCUCUCCUCGUUUAGCGAGAAUGCGAAAAGGACCAAUGUAACGAGGAGCCAAUUUGCCUUUGAUACCGAAACGAUGGGUAACCUUGAGAGGUGAAACCCGAAGUUAAGCCUUCUCGUCAACUUCAUAACUUACUUCGUAAUGACGACGGUCAUAUUGACUCUUUUGACGAGAUUAGGCGGUUUUUAAAUUCUCAGGAAUGAUGCGAACUUGCUCUUCUGCCUCCUGGAUCAUAUCCGGUCCAAAGUAUUGUCUUUCACCGGUUUCUGACUAGUUUAAUGGCAUUCGACAUCCUCUUCCAUACAGAACUUCGAAAGGAGUUUUGCCCAGACUAGACUGGAAAAUGAUGUUAUAAGCAAACUCGGCGAAUGGAAUACAUUUCUCCGAGUUCAUUCCGAAUGAGAUAACACACGCUCUGAGCAUAUCCUCGAGAAUUUGAUUGACUCUUUCUACUUGACCACUUGACUGAGGGUGAUAAGAAGUGCUAAAGGAGAGAAGAGUUCCCAUAGCAUUUUGGAAACUUUCCUAAAAUAGAGAGGUGAAAAGACUUCCAUGGUCUGAAUUGAUUUCCAGAGGAACACCAUGAAGAGAAACUAUUCGAUAAAUACAUAGGUCUGCUAACUGACUAGCAGUUAUACUCUCUCGAACUGGAAGGAAAUGAGCAAAUUUUGAAAGACGAUCGAUGACCACGAAGAUGGCAUCAAUCCCUUUCUUAGUCUUUGGAAAGCCGGUGAUGAAAUCCACACCGACCUUGUCCCAUUUCCACUUAGGAAUAGCCAAGGGCUGAAGAGUGCCAGCAGGCCUUUGAUGUUCUGCCUUAACGCGACGACAAACGUCACAGUUAGCAAUAAAUUGAGCGAUUUCUCUCUUCAUUCGGGUCCACCAGAACCUCUGGCGUAGGUCCUGAUACAUCUUAGUACUACCGGGAUGAAUCGUGAGAGGAUAUUCAUGAGCUUCCUUAAGGAUCAAUUCUCACAGUUGUUGCUUCUUGGGAACAACCAAACGAUUCUCAAAAAAUGCAACACCUUUAUCAUUUACUAGGAAACGACCAGCAUUGUUAAUAUAGUUUUUUGGUGAUGAUAAACUAUGUCAUGCGAACUCGAUGAUCUUUUGAGUAUUGAUAGAUGUCCGUUUGCCGCAAAUCUUGUGUCCGUUUCCUUUCGAUUUUAUUUUCCGAUCACGUAGAUUAUUUCGACAUGCAUGUGUAGUAUGGAUAUAGGACGCCAGAAUGAGACAUGUGGAUGUUUUUUUUCGGAAAAGCAGGUUCAAACCCCCUGCCUCUGCAUCAAUCGAUGCAUACGGCCAUUUUUAUUAAUUAUUCAACAUAGGUCUAACAAGAACAUACAUCAAACCAUCCGAAGCUACCACUCACACCUAAGAAACUCGAUAAUGUGGAGUGCUCUCAUUCCCCAUAUCUAAAACCGGUGCCGUCAUUGAUCCAUCCACAUAUCGUAUCGGAACCCACAGCCGGUGCAACAGACAUAAAGCGGAAACCACAUGCACAUGUUUUAGAUGCCGCCAUCAUCAUCAGGCCGCUGACCCAUCUUCAGGAGAGAGAACAGUAUCAUCCUUGACAGUCCAUCCAUCCGCGACGCCACCAUGGCUUGUCAGUCCAGACGCGAAGAUUCUGGAAGAUCUGUCGUGCGUAGCACCUGCCGACCAGGCAUGACAUAGCGUAGUACCUGUCGACCACGCAAGACUUGACAUCUUCACUGAAAGCUCCGUGCAAGAUGAUCGACGCCACCACGGCGCCAAACAGCGCCACCGCCCUAGGCUCAUUCGUCCAGACACGAAGAUUCUGGAAGAACUGUCGUGCGUAGCACCUACCAACCAGGCAUGACUCCGCGUAGCACCUGUCGGCCAGGCAUGACUUAACAGUUCCAACAAAUCUUCGAGCCAGACGAAGCCGCUCCAUCUCCUGCCUCUGUCAUCUAGCCUUGCUCCACAAAGGAUGCUCCCAAGAGAGAUACGACACCGCAGUACCGCCAUCGUCCGAUCUGGAAAGUCAGAUCUUAGGGUUUCCCCCGAAGCAGUGCCCACCACUACAAGGAAUAUGCUAAUACACGACGCUAUUUUUUCGUCGCUACAUCGUCACGGUUUUUAAUUUACGACGAUCUCACGACGAAAAACCAAGCGUCGAAAACGGAGCGUCAGAAAUGAAGAGCAUCGACGUUUUGAUCAAAAUCGUCGUAACUUUUACGACGAUGCCUCUAUCGUCGUAACCUUUACGACGAUCCUAAAUCGGCGUUGGCAAUCAAACCCAGUCCUACGUGGCAGUCCUACGUGGCAAAAUUACGACGAAAUCAAAACAUCAUGGUUGAAAUCAGCCCAACCCAUUUCAAUUGAUCACAUGGGCUGAUUUUAUUUUUUUGGGCUUUUUCUUAUUGGACUUCUUUUGGGACUUUGCCUAUUUACAGCCACUUUAGUAUGUUUUUUUCGAAUUUUUUUUAUCAUUAUAAUUUGGGCCCUGGACUUUAAGUUCCAAAUACAUUUGGUCCAAUUUCAGUUUUGGCCUUUUUCAUUUUUGAAUUCAGCAACUUUUUGUUCCUGAACUUGGUUUCAUUUCUAUUUGUUGGGCCUUUGCAACCCAAUUAUUUGUCCAAUAUUAAAUCCAACACUAUUUCAUAUUCAAAUCAAGAAUACUCCAACUCAAAUUAAAAUCAUCCAUCAUAUAACAUCACAUAAUACAUCUCCCAAGUUUACAUAACACAAUACGUCUCCCAGGUUCACAUAAUACAUCUCCCAGGUUCACAUAAUACAUCUUUCAGGUUUACAUAAUACAUCCAAACUCCAAGUCGUUCUCCUCCUUGGGCUGGAUGGCGCCUGCAACAGCCACCUGCUUCUGCAUCUCCUCGGCGAUCCUCUUCAGGUGCUCCAUGUUGUCAGGGCCUGCAACAAUUAGACAGAUUUUAAAAAGUAUCAGAAGGCGAUGUCAUUGUGAUGAAUAAGUCCAUAUGGCAAAAAGGUAGGAACACAGGUCAUCACACGAUGCCUUGUUCCUGUGCAAAGCCAUCGAAAAGAGUACUAACUAAGCACUACACUAUCAUGGUUGACUUAACAAAUGCGUUGAGCGGUCAAUAAUUCACAGAAAUAGAAAUACAUAACAUCAUUUCUCAUGUAAUGCCCAAAGUGGUUUAAACUUGAUGGAUUGAAUAAUUGUUCAGUGGACUUUGGCAAAGUGGUUUUGACUGCCCUUUCCUCAUCAGUGGUUCAUAGGAAACAGGGCAUGUGAAUAACUUGGUUAUUGAAGCAUCAUUCUGCUCUAUUUUGAUCUCCUGAAACUGUUCGCAUGGUGAGCGUCAGUUUCACACGGUAUGAAUAAAGUUCAACCUUGGCAUAACACAAAACGCUUACACUUAACGCGACUGUAAACUAUGCUAGGAGUAUUAAACAGGAUGCUUCUUGUCCGAAGCAUACACCAUCAGUUGCUAGUAAGAUCAUCUGUUCAGAGUUAAAUAGUAGGAGUAUAAGCUACUAGAUUGCAGAGACCACUCAUUCUAUGCAUGUAGGACAAUAUAAGUACAGAUAUCAGCAGUCAUAUAACUUGUUGGUAGCUCAGUCACUGGUAGCCAAAUACCAGCGAGCAGUGCAGGCCAUGACUCACACAUCACCUCCCCAAACUAAAAAUACCUGCUAAACUUAUGCCCAUCUCGGAUCAAUUGAUCACUCUUGGAGCAAAUACAAAGCCCGCAGGUUCCUGCCAAAGCCCCGCAUAGGCAUGACACCAAACAUUUGGUGUGCGACAACCAUUGCCCUUUUUUUUCAAGCGCACACAACGCGUACCCUGAGAUAUUUUUUUCGAGCGCACACAACGCAUCCCCUGAGAUUUUUUUUUUCGAUAAAGAUUCCCUGAGAUGAGAAUCAGCUACAGAAAACAGGGGGAUGCAUUCCAAUUCCUGGAAAAUAAGUGAAUCAGAUCGCUCCUAAAUUGAUGCUAACAUCAAUUACCCCCCUCCAACAGAUCUAACAGGGUUCAAAACUAAAGAAAGUGUAUCUAUGAUCGAGAGAUGCGGAGGGGAGCAAGAGGCAUACGGUCUUGGGUUUCCCCGGGUGGCGGAGGAUUGUAAAGACGAGCUGCUGGCGCGGGAGGACGCAGAAGAGGUGGACGAGGUGCUCAGCCUCAUCCUCGACGACAGCGGCGACGCGGGCGCGUCCGACGUCGGGCUCGAAGAUGGCGGUCCUGCCAGUCGAAGAGCUGGUCGCUGAAGUCUGCCAUUGUCAUCAUAAGGAAUGUCACCGCUACCCGCCUAGAGAGAGCCACAUCGUCACCAGUCCUGCAGGGUAGCGAUUUACAUCAGGUGCACAGUAGAAAUGGAGCAAUCUUUUCUGAACUUCAAAUUCUCAUUCAGUUUGGAUAAGGUGCUAGUUUGCUUAGCAAUUCCCUUUUGCACAGCAGAAGCAACACCGCCUUUUUUGAAUCAAAAUUCUCUUUUUUCCAGGACUAUGAAAAUUCUCACUGAGUUUGGAUUAAGGUGCAGCUACUAGUUUGCUUAGCAAUUUCCCUUUUGCUUCACUCGGGUGCCGAGUUCGGAACCGAUUUUUUUAAUAGUGAAUCAUGAAUCAAUUGAUAAUUGAAAGUAUUUCGACAACAUAUGUUGCAGCAGAAAAAAUUAAAUAGACAUACUACAAAUCUAACUUAUCUUGUCAAGAUGCCACAUAAUCUUGCAAAAUUGACAUAACUAAGUUUUUCUCUCAUAGCAACAUGAGUGAGGUUAAUUUGCCCGACACAAAGUUGCGAGAUACAAAAAAUUCCUAAUCCUGAAUCUUGAUAAACACUGCAUGAACGCCUAAUCCUAAAGCUAGCUUGCAACUUGUAAUGAUCAAUGAAGCAAGAGUACUUGAUCCUCAAAUUUUUAAUCUAUCAUGAGUGAACUCUAUACAUCUGUCAGUAUAUGUUUCGAAGAAACGCCUAAUCCUAAUAGGAAACAUACAGUACUUAAUUAUCAUCUUGGUCAUAACCAUGGAUUUCUCGGUGAACUCUAUGUGUCUCACUAGUAGAAAACGGGCCUUUGGCCUGGACCCUUUAGUCCCGGCCUGCCUCUGGGCCGGGACUAAAGGCCCGGCCACGUCGCCCCAAUUCUCAUAUCCUCCCUCGAGGCUUUAGUCCCGGCCCGUAAGGAGCCUUUAGUCCCGGUUCGUGUCCCAAGCCGGGACUAAAGGGCUACGCGGUGGGCAGCCCGCAUGUGCGCCACCUUUAGUCCCGGUUUGUGUCUCAAANNNNNNNNNNNNNNNNNNNNNNNNNNNNNNNNNNNNNNNNNNNNNNNNNNNNNNNNNNNNNNNNNNNNNNNNNNNNNNNNNNNNNNNNNNNNNNNNNNNNCCUGGAGCCUCGCGGCCACCCCCCCUCCGUCGCCCGCACCCUCCUCCGCCGCCCCACCCUUGCCGGCGACCUCGCCCCUCGCCGAAGUGCCCCCUCCUCGCCGCUGCUCCUCCCUGCCAUCGUGCCUCCUCUGUAGCACGAGGUAACUCCCUCUCCUUUCUGUUUUUUUUUCUUUUGUUUUACUUUCUACCGUUAGAUCUUUAGUCAACGCGUUAGAUUAGAUCAUAAUACCUCUUUGGUUUUUAACCAACAACCGAAAGGGUUUUUCUUUACUUAUAGCUUAGCCGGAGGACUUUCGUUAUAUAGCGGCCAUUUGCUAGUUAGCGGUAGCAGCGAAUGGUUUUCAUCAAAUCAGAUCGUGCCACGUCAUCGGUUCUCUUUUCUAUUUUUAUUCUGAAACAGAGAGAGUUUCCAUUUUAUUUUGCUCAUAACUUUUGAUCCAUAACUCUAAUGGAUUUGAUACUUAUUCCCGUAGAUCACAAUUUUACUGUAAUUUUCAAAAACAUAUUAUUUGUCUAUGUUUGAAAUUUUCAAAUUCGAAUUAGAUCAGAUUUAGUUUAAACCUUGUUUUUCUUAUUCUGGGAGUUUAAAAAUAGCUUUUAAUUUGAUUCUUUUUUAUGCUAAUCACUAGUGAUACUAUUUAUCAGUUGUAAAAAUUUCAGAAUUGUUUGAGUAAUUUAACUCAUUAUUUCUUAUGAAACAGUUUCUGUUCAUUUCUUUUAGGAUUCUGACAAUAUUUCUUUCUUUAGUUGUUUUUAAAUUAUUUUUCUUUUAUAUUUCAGAAAUAUUAUGUUUUGUUUCUGUUAGUUGACAGUAGGGUUGCAACAAGUUUUGAUUUUAUUUUUAUAUGUUAUCAUGAAAUCAAUUCUAGUUCCCUAAUAACUUGCAAUUGGUAUCUCUACUGUUUCAAAUCCCGUUUGGAAAUACUUUGAAAUAGUUUUGUGAAAAAUACUUUAUUUUAUCUUGGUUAAAUUUAUAUCUUAGUUAUAUGUGAUGUUAAUGUUUUAUUUUCAGUUAGAACAAAAACUAUUUGGUGUUUGAUGUAGUAGAAGACUCCCUAGUUUAUUUGAAGUUUUCUUUCGGAUUUAUAUUCGCUCUCUCUUACUGUUCNNNNNNNNNNNNNNNNNNNNNNNNNNNNNNNNNNNNNNNNNNNNNNNNNNNNNNNNNNNNNNNNNNNNNNNNNNNNNNNNNNNNNNNNNNNNNNNNNNNNGAGUGCGGGCUAGGGAUGGGUUCCCCUCUUCAAUCCUCACUUUUAGAGAUUGAGAGGGCAACCCGGGUUCAAUCCUUAUUUUUUUUUAAGGGUUUAGGGGUUCUAUUCUUUGCUUUUUUUCGUUUCAAUCCGUAAAAAAUGAUUUAUUUUAAGGAUUUGAAGAUUUAAGAACACUACAAGUGAUGCUUUAAUUGACACCCCACUCAUGCACAUGCUCCUAUAUUUGUUAUCCUAUGAUUCCCUGCCAACCCCGAUGGAUUGAUGCAUUGCCUGCUGUUAUCCAGUUGCAGAAGAGUGCGGCGCACGUGAGAUGGUUUUUAAAUGACCAACGAGGCAGCGCCACCUGUGUUCUGCCGCAGCGCCGACCACCCAGCACGCCGCCGGUAUUGCUAGCUCGCCUGCCAAAGUGCCAAAACCACGGUCUCGCUUCCCACUGUAUCUAUCGUCUUCUUGUGCGCACGCUGGUUGCCGGUUUCCUGCAGCCUACAUAAACUCGGCCGAAUCGGAGCACACCUCCUAUCCAUCUCAUCUCACUCUCAGACGGUCACAUAAAAAGCACACUGCUGCUGCUCUACUUCUAGUUCACUUCCUUCCGGUCUCGUGCCACCAAGCUGCCACUCCCACGAAAAUGUCUACGGUGACCCGCGCCUACCUGGACCAGAGGCUCGCUGCAGCCAAGCGUUGCUCCAGAGGUAACCAGCAAUGCUCGUAUAGAUACCAUUCCGUCGUGCAUUAAUUGCAGCUUCUGUAAUGUAUCUGUCCACUGAAACUUGAUUGUCAUUAACCUGUCGGUGUUGCAGAGGCUGCCAUGGCGGGAGCCAAGGCCGCGGCCGUCGCCACCGUCGCAGCCGCAGUCCCCACGGUUAGUAGCUAGCCAUUUAGUUCUUGCCUUCUUCGAGAUAUCCCUGCGGAGCACGAAUGUGUUACCUCUUACCUGUAAUUUCAGCUGGCGAGCGUGAGGAUGCUGCCGUGGGCAAAGGCGCACCUGAACCCGGCCGGGCAGGCGCUCAUCAUCUCCACCGUCGCCGGGAUGGCCUAUUUCAUCGUCGCCGACAAGACAAUCGUCUCCAUGGCCAGGAAGCACUCCUUUGACAACGCCCCGCCACACCUCAAGAACACCUCCUUCCACUAAUUAGGCUGUAGAUCAAAUAAUGCGCAGCAAGUUCUAUACGCCUCCCCGAACUUGUCUGCUGAAAUUGGGGCGAUCAGGCGAGGCCAUGCUUGCAGUGCGAUGUUUACUGCGAGCAAGCACUAAUUAUCUUAUCAUGUAUGAAAUGAAAUAAUGUUGCCAACUUCUCCAUCUUAGUACCUUUCCAGAGAUCUUGAGUUAAUAACAGCUAGUUUUUAAUUUUGUACGACCCUGGUUCAUGUGCCAUGACUCGUCUUUUCCUUAUGGCGCUUACUAGUUGACAUGCGUCAGAGCAUUGCAAAAUGCCGAGAUAACACUGUAGUACUAGUUCACUCUUUUGAUCCCCAGCUCCUCCCCUGUUCUGUUCCGAAAUGCACGUAAUGACGAUCAUGAUACAUUAGCUCAUACGAUUAAUCUUUUCUCUCACUAUUUCCACUACCCGCGUCUCCGCGUAACCGUCGACCGCGGGCGUGCUCCCUCAAUUUCAAAAGUUACGAAAAAUCUGUCCCACCUUGUAUCCCGAAUGGAUCCCGUGUACACGUCGUAUGACAAAGCAUGCCGAAUGAUCUUUUCGCACGAUCCCCUACGGAAUCCCGAUCAGUCCGGAAAUUGAUGACGACGACCUGAUCGUCCUUACCUCGACACGAGUUAAGAUCUGUCCCAACUCACCGAUUGAGCACGCGGAGUACAAAGCUCUCGUCCAUCGAACUCAUGGGAUCUAUCUUUCCAAAAGAUAAUCUGUCACUGCCGACUGCUGAAGUACCUGUAUGGCUGGACAGUCGAAAUUGGUCACUCUUAAAUCCGUGGAGGUUUGCCGAGGGUCCGAAUGACGCAGCCCCGAGCUACAUCCCAAGAAUCUUCAAAGCGUCGGAGACAUUGAAGGAAGUCAUUCAGUCGAUCUGCAAAACCUCAAUUGAUUCGGGGGCUACUGCUCGUGUUGUACAUUAGGGGUAGGCCUACGGACCUGCCUCUUUGGGCCUACCUAGGACCCUUACGGACAUUAGUAUCCUUAAAGUCACCAAGGCUGCCUCGACCUCACUCGGUUCAGCAACCGUCACUCGGUCUGCCUGGAGUCACUCGGAUCCUCUCGUGCGAGUCGGAUACAUCUUGACACUCGGACCUCAGCGAGGAAAAGGCACCGAAGAGGCUGCAAACGGCUAAGGACUUAACCCAUCGCAUGAAGAGCAGUGAAGACUCACGUUACUAGUAACGCCGAUAAUUAAAGCUGUCGUUUCUAGUAACUUUUUCGUUUAUUUGCAUUAAUUGCCUUGUAAUGAAGCUCGGCCGGUCAUGGUAUGCACUAUAUAAGCCACUUCUGGCUCUAGCUCAAGGGUUCAACACUUUGUAAUCUUUUACACCCCAUAAGAAAAUACCAGCCUCAGGGCUCGAGACGUAUGGCUGUUACCACUUUCGAGUGGGGUCUAAACUCGUACAUCCGAGUGCAUCCACUGCGUCUAGUUAGACUUUGCCCCUUCAUUCAUACCCUUAGGUACUAUUGUUAGGGUCAUUCCCACGACACUAGGAGAUGGCCCACAAAGGCAGACAAAAUCGCUAUUCUAACCUUCUCAGCGAUUUUUGUCACAAUCUGAACUUGAUAUAAAAGUAUUUCACGUUCUGAUCUUUUUGGCAACAUCAUAGCCCGUGACGUUACUGCCCGACAUAGAAAUCCGAGCUAGAUAGCAUUUUUGCUCUGGUCCACUGCCAUGACGAGUACGCGUAGGUAACAGGUUAGAAACGCCGAGCUAGAUCUCGUUUCUGGAAACGUCACUGACCCUGGCGUUUCUAUGUAGGGCAGCAACGCCAAAAGCCUUGACGUUUCUAUGUUGUUUUGAAACGCAAGGCCUUUGACGUUGCCGCCCUAUAUAGAAACGGGGUCUAGCUCGACGUUUCUGGCUUGUCACAUACGCAUGGUCGGCCUGACAGUGGACAAGGGCAGAAACGCUAUCUAGCUUGGCGUUUCUAUGUUGGAUUGACUAUGAUGUUAUCAAAAAGAUUAGAUCAUAAAACACUUUUAUGUUGAGUUCAGUUUGUGACAAAGAUUAAUAAAAAUGUUAAAACAGUGAUUUCGGCCGAAGCGAGACGCAUACACGCGCUGCUUAACAUGUCAGUCCCGUUGACUAGCUGCACCAAACUACUGUCGACCUCCUUAAACAUUCGGUAGGACGGCAUGUCAGUCCCGAUGGCUAGCUGCAACCGACACGUCUUUGUGUGCAUGUAGGAGUAUUAUGCCAAGUCGUAACAGAGCGACAGAUAAUCAUGGGAACUCUCUAAUCACAAACACCAUGCCACACACAGGAGAAUACACCAACCAACAGAGACGACGUAAAGAAUUGCAACAGACCUGACCAUCUCAUUUACCAACCAACAGGGACUACGUAGUAGGAUUAGUGCACCACACUGCCCUCUUGUCUUGAUGCGUCUCCUCCCCUCUACAUAUUUACUACUGCAGCACCCUCUACAACUUUAAUGGAAAUGCGUAGUUCGCUGAUUGGUGUGAACUUUCGGUGGUACAAGAACGUCGAUUCAAAUUUAUUAUGUUUGCGUGCUUAAUAAAACCAAGUCAUACUAGAAAGCAUUUUAUAAUUUUAAUAUUUUUAAACAACCAUAGCAUGCCCCACAUACCAGGACAGCUGGGGUAUACCGCAAGAUCGAAGUGGCCCGACACACAAAAUUGCUAGUGAGUUGUGUUAAAGUAGAACAAGAUUGAUUGAAAGUAAAUGAACGAUAAGUCUUUGUUUUUAUUGAUACUCAAGUAUAUAUACAUCUCGAAAAGAUGAAAAUAAAGGGUGUUUGUUCGGAGACAUCCGUCCAAAACAGAUGCCUAUUGACAAUAAAGAGAGAGAAGGGACAUAACUCUUCGGGGUUGGACACACCUUUCGCUAAUGAUGAUCCAUUAAUUAGCAUGUGCUAAUUAAAAAUAGACAUGUGAUAAUUUAUUCCUAACACCCCCUUAUACAACACCGCUUCCUGAUCACCACUAAAGGCUUCUUGAACAUCACUGAAGGUGUCUUGUAUAUUCAUCUUCCAUCUUGAUAAAUCCUUUGUACAAUCUUGAGUCUUCCCAAAAACCUUAUGGAAAAAAUAUGAGGAGAAUGGUGCUGAUAUGUUGCUAAAAUUUCUUUAAACCUGAUGGGUAAAAAAUAAGGAGAAUAUGAUGCAACAUAUUAUGAUUAGUAUCUCCUUGAUAACACAUAUGAGGAAAACCUUUGAACAAGGAGAAAACUUAUUUGUGAGUUUGGAGACCAAUAAAUGUUCAUUGUAUACUUUCGUUUAAAAAAACCCAAGUGAGAAAAAUAGAAAUUAUUGCAUAUGUUGCCUUGUUAAAACCUUUUAUGAGAAACUUCAAGAGAAAUCACAUAAGGGAAAAGAGUGUGAUCUGAUAUGCCAUUGGAAACUCCUUUAAAAUGCAGUGGGAAAAAUAUAAGGAGAAAAUAAUAUGACAUAUCAUAAUAAUUGUCUCUUUAACUCAAUAUUAUAAAAUCCAUACAGUUUAGAGGACAAUAAAUAUGUUGUGUAUACAUCCCUAAAAACCCCAGUUGGGGAAAACAAAAAAUAUGACAUAUGAUUUCAUGUUGAUAUUACCUCAUGAAAAAUCUUUAUGAGAACAUGUACAGUAAACUCAUGCAGGGAAAAAUAUUAUAAUAUGAUGCUCUGAACAUGAAAAAUUCAGGAAGAUACUCCCCUAAUUCUUGCAAAUUCCGAAGCCGUCACAUACCAAUUCAGUGAACAUAUUUCUAGAAUGUAGAAGUUGGUAGAGACUUGGUGAACAAAUCAGCCACAUGAUUUGAAUUGCAAUAUAUGAAAUAUAGAGAUAUUGCUUAUUAUGUAACAUGUUUGCAUCCGGGGAACACAAGCAACAUUAUCUUUGAGAUAAUGGUUGGUGGAUGUAGCUAAUAAGAUUUGUUUUGAAGACUUUCAUGGGAUGGCUACGACACCUAGUAGGAACACAUAGCUUGUCUACGAUCUAACAUGGUAGGGAUCUAAUCAACGUAUCCAAUAAUAUCGGGUGUCCAGAUUUCUCUAAAACUGAAAGAUUAGGACAAGAUGUUUGAUGCCUUGGAGAUAUGAAAAUAUAUUCUUGAGUCCCAACCAAUUAUGUUUGGUGGGUCCAAUGGCACUAGGAUAUGGAACUUUAGGUCCUAAAAUCUUGUUUCCAUCUCCUCGCAGUCUAAAUGAAAUUUUCUCUACGUCUAGAGAACGAAUAACCAUGGAAAUUAUGGAUGGGUAAGACAUCCCCACAAUCUAUUUUGUCUAGUAUAAUCUAGAUAAUGACGACAUGUGUACCAUAAUGUAUGAGUGAAUGUGCGAGAGGUUUUACCCAAAUUCUUCAUCUCAAAUUCCGUCAUUUGGAUGAUCACAUGAUUCGUCAUUGCAGGAUUAAUCCUUGUAUAUGACGAGCAUUAUGGUAAUCCACUAGAAGAAAUAUGUCAACUAGCGACCUUCUAGCAAUGACGCAAGUAGAAAUGGUCGUAAAUCUACGACCAUUUGAGACCAAUUGGUUGUAAGAUGUCCGGAGGGGUCCUAACCCUAAAAACUAACGACCAUUUUCAUCAGAAAUGUCAUAACUUCCUUACUAGAAAUUGUCGUAAAGCGGACAGCACCGGCCACCUCUUGUUACUAAUUAGUUCGAAUGCAUUAGGAUGGUUAGGCAACAACCUCAGUUUACCUGUCAUUUUUGCUUACUUCUUGUUAAACAAAGAUCACACACUGACAGGUGGGACCCAUUUGACAGCAGAAGCACACGCGAGCGCAAAAUUCGUUGGGUAAUUUUUUUUACCCGAGCGUGGACUCGAACCCACGACCACUGGGUUGUGGCUGCUUGUUGACUACCACUGGGCUAGAGAGGGAUUGCUGCCCAUCUACCGAAAUGACUGUAUAUUAUAUAAAACUGCGGUUGUCUCUUGCCAAAUCUAAGUCAUUGACAAGUGGGACCUAUUCCGAGGAUAGGACAGAGCCAACACUUAGCCAAAAUUUCUAGGUCUUCCACGACAAGUGAGACGGCGGAGGCGAUGACGGGGGCAACUAGCGCUGGAGGGGGUGAGNNNNNNNNNNNNNNNNNNNNNNNNNNNNNNNNNNNNNNNNNNNNNNNNNNNNNNNNNNNNNNNNNNNNNNNNNNNNNNNNNNNNNNNNNNNNNNNNNNNNUAUAACAUGAACGCGUCCCUGCAGCCAUUGCAUACGCUUAACCUACGCGUUUCAUAUGGUAUCAGAGCUAGUCUCUUCCAAUACAUCUAGCCGCCGCCAUGUCCACCUCCUCCUCUGCGAUCACCAUGGCCUCUCCCUCCAUCGCCUCUCUCGGCCACACCAUCACAGAGAAUCUAACAAGAGAGAACUUUCUUGUAUGGAGAGCCCAAGUCCUGCCGCACGUCCGUGCCGCCGGUAUGAUGGGGUUCCUUGAUGGAUCAAACAAGGAACCCAGCGCCGAGCUCCUUCUGGAAAAAGAAGUUGCCGGCAAGAAGGAGAUCGUCGCUACUUCCAACCCCGAACAUGCCGUUUAGGUGACCCAGGACCAGCAGGUACUGACUUUUCUGCUGGCAUCCCUCUCUCGCGACGUACUGAUGCAGGUCAGUAACUGCGAGACUACUGCCGAGGCGUGGAAGGAGCUUCUUCAGAGCUUCUCAUCGCAGUCGAGGGCGCGCAUCAUCCAACUCCGCUCACAGAUCGCCUCCACUCGCAAAGGUGAUCUCUCCGCCGCCGCCUACUUCACCAGGAUGAAGGGGCUCGCUGAUGAACUUGCUGCUGCUGGAAAACACCUUGAUGAGGACGACGUGGUGUCGCACAUCCUCCAAGGGCUGAUGCAUGAACCCGAGUACAACGGGUUCGUUUCUGCUAUCUCAACCCGCACCAUCACUGAUCAACCGAUCGGUCUUGGAGAGCUGUACUCCCUCCUGCUUGCUGUAGAGGGACGGAUCACUACCCAGACAGCCUCCUACACGGCCAAUAUGGCUGCUAAGGGAGGUGGCCGGGGUGGCUACGGUCGUUCUGGGAACGGCAAUGGUGGUCCCCGUGGCUUCAACAACAACAACACGGGUGUGCGCUUCUUCGACAACUCGGGCAAUGGUGGCGGGCGUGGCGACCGUGGUGGUGACCGCGACAACAACAAUCGGGAGAAUUGCCAGAUCUGCAAAGAGAGCGGGCACGGUGCGUGGCGCUGUAAAAAGCGCUUCGAUCGCAACUUCAACAACAAUGUGGGUAACCCGGCUGGCAGUGGAGGUGGGGGUGGAAACAAAUCUGCCAAUGCUGCCAAAACUUCGGGGUCCUAUGGAGUGGAUACCAACUGGUAUCUGGACACUAGCGCGACAGAUCAUGUCAUCGGUGAGCUUGAGAAGCUAGCUGUUCGGGAUCGCUACACCGGGACAGAUCAAAUCUACACUGCAAGUGGUCAAGGUAUGGACAUUGCUCAUAUUGGUCACUCUGUUUUGUCUACUCCCCAUGGUUCCCUGCACUUAAACAAUAUCCUCAUGCACCUCUAGCUGACAAAAGUCUUCUCUCUGCUCACAAACUUAUCAAUGAUAAUUAUGCCUUUCUUGAAGUUUACCCUGAAAUUGUUUUUGUCAAGGAUCGGGACACUCGGAGAACAAUCCUUCAAAGCAAGAGUAAAAAAAUGUCUGUUUCCAAUUUCUGGUCGCCAUGAUCCUCCACAUCGACAAGCACUUGGUGUGACCAAACCCUCCACUUCAAGAUGGCAUAAGAGUCUAGGGCAUCCAGCUUUGCCGGUUGUCCAUAAAAUUCUUAGAGAUUUUUGUCUUCCUGUGUCCAAUAAAAAGGAUCACUUGUUAGUUUGUGAUUCAUGUCAAAUGGCCACCAACUCCCUUAUACUCGUUCCACUAGUGAGUCCAAAGCUCCUUUAGAGCUUGUUUUUUCUGAUGUGUGGGGGCCUGGACCCCUUUCUGUAGGAAAGCAAAAGUACUAUGUUAGCUUCAUUGAUGAUUUCAGCGAGUUUAUCUGGAUUUAUUUACUCAAGCAUAAAUCUGAUGUGUUUGCCAAGUUUCAUGUUUUCCAGCAACACGUUGAGCGUCUCUUUGAUCGAAAGAUUCUUGCUAUGCAAACAGAUUGGGGUGGUGAAUACCAAAAACUCAAUGUGUUUUUUGAAAAUAUUGGCAUCACCCACCAUGUCUCCAGCCCCAUGCUCAUCAACAGAACGGCUCUACUGAAAGAAAACAUCGCCACAUUGUAGAAGUUGGGUUAUCCCUCCUUGCCCAUGCUUUUAUGCCCCUCAAGUUUUGGGAUGAAGCUUUUCUUACCGCUGUCUACCUUAUUAAUCGCACACCUAGUAGGAUCAUCCAUAAUCAAUCCCUCUUGAGCGUAUUUUUCAUACAAAACCCAACUACACCUUUUGACGCAUUUUUGGGUGUGCUGUACUUACGUCCCUUCAACAAACACAAGCUUGAGUUUCUCUCCAAACAAUGUGUCUUCCUAGGGUACAGCACAAUGCACAAAGGGUAUAAGUGCCUUGAUGUUACUUCUGGUCGAGUCUACAUCUCUCGUGACGUAGUAUUUGAUGAGCAAGUUUUCCCUUUUGCUACACUCCAUCCUAAUGCUGGUGCACAACUUCGUAAAGAGCUUGUUUUACUUCCCUCCCACCUCCUCCCAUCACCACAAUUCCUUGCUAGGGGGGUAGAUACUGCUGAUGACCACAUGACAAUGUCUCAUACUACUAACCCUGAUGAUCCGUCAGAUUCUAGUGUGCAGGAAGAUUUUGCAGGAAACAGCGCAACAGGGCGUGAUUUUAUGCUCUCAGCAGAUCCCGGUGCCUCCGCAGAAGAUCCCGCCUCGGAAUCAGUUCCAGAUCCGGGCCAGCCUGCGCCUGAUUCCAUUCCGGCCUCGGGGACCGCAACUCCUGGCGCUGACGCUGCCAGUAGAUCCUCNNNNNNNNNNNNNNNNNNNNNNNNNNNNNNNNNNNNNNNNNNNNNNNNNNNNNNNNNNNNNNNNNNNNNNNNNNNNNNNNNNNNNNNNNNNNNNNNNNNNUCGAGUCCUCCGCCGCGGUUUGGUCGCCGCCGGCCAGUUUCCGGCGAGCGCCGACGUGGCACGGCCAUUAGUGCCUAACUAGCACCCCACAGCCACUGACACAGGGCCCCACGCGUGGGUCACACCCCAAUUAGGGGCAGGUCAACUCGGGUUUAGCCCAGGGUCACUGACCAGUGGCCCCCACUGGUCAGGUUUGACCUGGCCCGGCUGGUUUGACCUGAUGACGUCAGUGCUGAUGCAGUAAUUCAUUUCAGAGUUUAAAAUAAAUCCAGAAAUUAGUAGAAACUUCAAAAAUUCAUAGAAAUUAAAUUAUAACUCGGAUGAAAAUAAUUUAUAUAUGAAAAAUUAUUAGAAAAAUGUAAGGAAUCCAAUGGUACCAUAUUCAUGCAUGUUUGAACAAUUUGAACUAGCUGAAUAGGACAAUUACAAAAUAGGCAUAUAAAUGCUUAUAUUUGGAGUUUAGAAUUGAUCUAUAUUGAUCAAACAAACCCCAAUUAACUUGUGAUCACUUGCAUUAGAUAAAACCAGCAUCAUUUUAACAUGCCAUGCUCAUGCAUCAUUGUGAAGCAUUUGUCGUGCUUAAUUUGUUCUUUGUUGAUCUUGUUGAUAGACCUUGCGAGAUGUAGUUAUCACCGACAUCGAAGAACAGCUGAGUUCUUCUGAUCAACAGGAAAGCAAACCCCUUAUGUAUUAGGACAUAAAGAUUCAACUACUACUUAUGUUAUGAUAGAUAACACAUUCCUUUGCAUGACAUGUCUUUGUCAAAGUAAAUAGCUAAACCAAGAAACCUAGCAUACCUGGUAGAUGCUUGAGCCAUGUUGUGCCAUUACCCUGAUAUGCUUGCUAUGCUUAGAGUUGAGUUGGUCUCAUCAUCUGGAUGAUGAAUUGGAAUGACCAUAUCCUACUGAUGAGAGUUAAGUAUGUGAAACCGUUUUGGUAAAGGUAGUGAUGAGAGUCCAUGUAGGAGUACAUGGCGGGUUGUCACAUUGAUACCGCACUUAGGACCUGAGAUCUUGUGUUGGUGUUCCAAGACUAGAUACUACCGCACAUUGGGUUCCGGUAACUCGACCCCUCUCGGCCUAUUAACUACUCUAUUCUCAGUCCAGGAGUCGCAGUAGUUCGAAACAUUCAUAGAUUAUGGCACGACCUGCUAAGUGGAUGAACGGCCCAAUCAUUACCGGCUUGGGGCCCUGCUCACAUCGUUUGAGGACAUGUUGGAAACCCCGGCCGGACUUCCAUCAUGGGUUCCAACUCAGAUAGGCGACUGCCUUGUGCGUGAGUCAUUGUGGGUUAACGUCCGUGGCUGACUCCCUCGCUGGACUUCCGCUUGAAGGUUGCUGAGGUGCUUGUUUUAUGUGCACAUGGCGAUAAUUGGCGGGAGCAUGUGUGACGAAGUACACCCCAGCAGGGUAAUUAUCCUUGGAUAUGGACUACUUGGAUACUUACAUGGUUCAUAGAUAACUUUAACGGGUACUUUAAAAUGGUCCAGAUAAGAGUGAGUGCUAUGGAUGGCCUUCUCAUAGGAUGACGAGAGAGGAUCCAUGGUGGUGUAUUGAUGUGGUGGAUAUGUGGACUCGUGUGCGCCCUCUCGUAGGGAGACAAGAGAGGUAUAAAACAUUGUUGUAGUUUAGGUUAGCCAAAGGUCAAAGCUGGCUUUUCUGCAGUAAACCCCACAACCCCGUUCAUUGAUGCAUGAUGCAUAUGUAGUUAACUCUGAUGUAAGUCUUGUUGAGUACCUUCAUACUCACUGUUCCUUAUUUUCAUUUUUGCACAGAUAGACGUUGUUCUCUCUACGUUUUCCUGUUGACGUUAACAUCGAUGGAUUAGCUUGGGAACCCAGAUAGUGGUCUGGCUCCUAUGGUAGGGUUGUUGUAGCUUUUCAGGCUCUUCCAGCCGCUUUUAAUAGAUGUCUAUACCCAGACAUGUAACUUCCGCUUGAUGCUUGUAUGCUCUGAAUGUUGGGUCAUGUGACCCCUCUGUUUGUAACAUUAUACUAUGUUGGCUCUUCGGAGCCUAUUAAAUAAUUGAUGAGUCGUAGAGUUAUGAUGUGAUGCUAUUGUUGUAUCUACACAUAUCAUGCAUAUUGUGUGUAUGUUUGAAAUGCAUUGGUAUGUGUGGGAUUCGACACCUAGUUGUGUGCCUUUAGUAGUAAUCUUUACAGCGAAAUGCCUCUUUGUGCUUCCACCGAGCCUUGGUAGCUUGCUACUUCUUCGGACACAUUGAUUGACCGGCGUGUAUCCUUCUUUGCUGUUGUAUCUGUCCCCUCGGGGAAAUGUCACGCGGUGUAAUGGAGUCCUUGUAGCUUGCUACGACUCGUCUACACACGCUGUUGACCGACACCUGCNNNNNNNNNNNNNNNNNNNNNNNNNNNNNNNNNNNNNNNNNNNNNNNNNNNNNNNNNNNNNNNNNNNNNNNNNNNNNNNNNNNNNNNNNNNNNNNNNNNNCGUGCCACCAAGAACGCUCCGCCGACGAUUCCUAAGCCACAGAGCACCCCAAAGCGCAAACGGUCGCCCCUCCCAAAGGUACGUCUGCUAAUCUUCCUAUCAGACCUUAUGACUUACACCAUAAGCCUGAUGACUAUACACGCACAUUGCAGAAGGAAGUGAAAAAGAGCAGUUCAACUACAAGCAAGAAAAAUCAGACGUUCCUCAGCUUGAACAACAGGCCAAACAGUCGACCCCACCCCUCAAGGUGUUAACCGAGAAUGUUCCCCCUCCGGUGCAGGGCCUAGCUUUAGAAACAACAAAGGAGUUGGCGGCUCAAUGUGGUAUCUCGCUUGAAGAAUUGCUGUCUUCCCAAGACGACAAGAUACCCAAGGCUGUGGUAGCCCCUAAGCCAAAGUUUGUCAUGGGUGAGCCUUUGGUCAACAAAGAUGAUCUUCCAACAAAUAUGCGUUACUUGCAUACAUGGUACUUAAGUGAAUCAAAGAAGGGGAGAACGAUGAUCGUGCUGAGUGUGCCACGGGAGUACUACGGCCGCCCUGAAGAAAUCCAUAUCGACUUUGAUGAACUCUUCCAGAUGUACAAUGCCGACGCCCUCGACAAAUCGCUUAUGAGUUGCUAUUGUGCGUAAGUUUUUCAAUUCGCUGUCUACAUAUAACUUGUUUAGUUAUUCCAAUUCAUUGUCUAUAUAUAACUCCUACUCUAUUAUGCAGAAUGAAGAUUCUGGAUUGUAAAAGUAAGAGCAUCAUAAAUAUUGGGUUUAUUGACCCAGAUAAAAUACAUAUAACGACGCUAACUAAUUAACCCAAGGAGACGGAGGAAAACCUUCUAAGGUUUCUAACAGAUCAAAAUUUCUGUGACCACAUACUGUUUCCAUACAACUUCAAGUAAGGGUUUCCAUACAACUUCAAGUAAGGGUCUUUACUCUGUUGUGUCCAUUCACUUAUAAGUGUAAUUGAUAAGUUACUGACAUAUAUGUAUAUAUAUAUAUAUAUAUAUAUACAUACAUGUGCAGCUUCCAUUGGAUUCUGUUGGACAUUCAAAUUGAUAAGGGAAGAAUUGAUGCCUUCGACCCAUUAUCGAGACCCUUGGAACAGUUCUAAAGCCUGCAGGACAUGCUCCAAGGGUAAUUUUAAUNNNNNNNNNNNNNNNNNNNNNNNNNNNNNNNNNNNNNNNNNNNNNNNNNNNNNNNNNNNNNNNNNNNNNNNNNNNNNNNNNNNNNNNNNNNNNNNNNNNNCCUCUAGAUCGGAUUAGGGUUAGGAGUGGGGAACCAGUGGCGGCGGCGAACCUCGUAGUCUGUGCCAUGGUCCCCACCUCCUCUAUAUACAGCACUGCGCGACAGGGGCCCACCAGCCUUGCUUGGGCUGGACGCCCCCGAUCAGGGCGUGAGUCAAGGUCCAAUGGGCCGUUGGGCCCAUUGGGAAAGAGAUCAAUCUAACACGGUUCACAUCAUCUUAGCUCACUUACCAAAGUAAUAUCAGUAAUAAUACCAGAUAGUUCAGCACAUCCAAGUUGAAAUAGGGCACAAAAGUUACCUUCCAAUUUUUAUGCCAUGUGUCUUAAAAGGAGUGAUCAAGGUAGUCAUCUCAUUCUCAGUUCUGUUGCAAAUUUUUAGAAGUGACAACUUUUCAAAGUUGUCGAGGAGAAAAAAUAGUGAUUGGAUUCAGUUGGUAGGAAAAAAUAGUGACAUGUGCCAUUAAAUUUAUCAAGUCGUCAGCAGUCCUAUGCGCAUUAGACAUGUCUAUUUGCUAGCACAAUUUCAGGAAAUGAUGUUGCUCUCGCUUUCUCAACAAAAAAUAGUAAGUAAUCCUCACUUCUUCACUUCGUUUUCUACAAAUUCAGUGCCUCUUCUCACUGUACAAUUUUAAGAAUCGCAAAAGCACAUUGGGGAGUGCUAUUGAUUGGUCAAUUGAUUUAAUCACUGUUGUGUGGAUUAUGCAUUCAAAGUUUAGUAGAAAUAAAAUAUCUGAAAAAUUAGCUUUUGCUCCUCUACAUAAUCGAUGGUGAUACUGCUACUGUCUUUUCUGAAUGGCAAUGAAUCCAUAUCACACUUGGUUUUUUGGGGGUCUGUAGUACAUGCUCAUUGCCAUUGAAUUAUUUGUUUUGUACUUAAUGUGAAAACUAACUUUUCCAGAUAUUAUGUUAAUCAACUGCGAAGAAUCAAUGUUGAAAAUUAAUAAGACUUGAGUGCAACAAGUCAGUUCUCUGGAAUUUGGUAUGUUUGGUGUUUCUGUUUGGUGUAUUUCUUGUGUAUAUAAAUGACGUUAAUUAUUGCUCCUAUUAUGCAGAAAGGCUGCCUUGAUGAGUAGAAAUUUCAGGAUUUUGGACCACCAUAGUGUUCCUCCUAUUGCACGAGCUGUCGAGGUGGGUAGCACCUGGAAGAAGAAAUCAUCAAGCAAACCUUUUUCGAAACAAGAAGUUAACACUCUACACAUUGUGUAGAGUGCAAGUGUACAAACUAGUUAGCGUGUGCUUUCAAAAAAUUUAAUGCUUCGUUCUCAUUCUUAUUGUUUGCUAUCACUAAGAAAUCAUCCUUUAGAAAGAUUUCUGAAAUUCUGAAGAGCCAGGUUACUAUGCUGACAUCCACAUCAUGUAUAUUUUCCCUGAAGGUUAAGAGGACGCACAUGUUUUCUAUGGCUUAUAUUUUCCAAAGUUCGCUUUUUUGUUUGUUUGGUUUUUAGAUGCAUUGUCCUUUCCCACGUCAACUUAUUUUGAAGUUUCUAUAUAAUUGGCAUUAGAGUUCAACAAACUGCUUAAUUUAUUUUGUAGAAGAAAAUCAUCAAUGUUUUUAAGAAGUCUCAUAGUCUCUCACAUGUACUGUUUCAUGUAGUGUUAGUAAAAAAAUAUCUUACGCUUGAUUUGAUUAAAUUAGCAAGCAGUGCCAAAGAAGUGGUAUGUGUAUUUCGUAAAGAAGAAGCAAGGAAUCUCCGAAGGGAUAUCGGAUUCGCAAGCAUAGAUCAAACAUUUCGCGACCAACAAAGUAUAUACAAAACUUCACUGAAACAUACAAAUAAAGCAUGGCGCACAACCCUCUAUAUAUCAAAGAAGCAAAACCACCAGGUUUAGGGUUAGGGUUUAGCCGAGGAUUUCAAGUCAAAGUGAAAAGUAAAAAACUACCAAAUCACACAACAAAAUGUAUUUUAUCAAUCCAUUGGCGUGUUGUGCAGCCGCUUUGAAGAUAGUACCAAAUCUUAUAAAAAUAUCAAGUAUUUUACCAAUCCAUAUGAUGGGGCUGCAAGCCGCACAAUUACAGCGCUUUAAAAACAAUACUAAAUCUUCUAUUCUUAAAUAGCUAGAACCCAUUAUCCAAUUUUUCUCUUCAUGCAACAAUGCCACAUCAUCAAAUCAUGCAUGUAGUUGUAAGUUACUUUUUUUAUUAAUCUCUUCAUGCAAAACAUAUCCUCAUGCAUGAUUUUUUUUUCUAGGUAAUUAAACAAGAUAUUUUUAUAAUGGUUUUUGCAUUUUCAUUAGUUUUUUAACAUUUAUCCAUAUAUUUUUAACAAUUUUUUCGCAGCAACGCGCGGGACAUUGUCUAAUAUUACAAACAAAUCAAGUAUUUUACCAAUCCAUAGGGCGUGGCUUACAGCCGUACAACUACAUGCUCUGGUCACAAUUUAUAAGAGUUGCUCGGCCGCACAAGAAUGGAAGAUGUCUACACAACAAACCAUCAAGGAUAAGAGUAGAAGAACUGCUUCAUCUCUGCACCACUACAUCAACUUCUCCCUCUCCCUUCCUGACUCUCACACAUGUNNNNNNNNNNNNNNNNNNNNNNNNNNNNNNNNNNNNNNNNNNNNNNNNNNNNNNNNNNNNNNNNNNNNNNNNNNNNNNNNNNNNNNNNNNNNNNNNNNNNCCGACGGCCCCGAUCGGCUGGGCAGGAAACCCUAGCGCAGGAUAGGCUUUCGGCCCGAAAGCAACUGGUCACAGGCCAGGCGGAGGUGGGCCGGCCAAGGACGGGGCGACGCCGGCUGGUAGGCUGAGAGCCCAGCGGGAGCAAGGGCUGGCCAGGCCGGUUUUGGCCUAGUUGCUAGAGGCCGCGAUUUUGUUAUUUUUCAUUUUUGUCCAGUUUUGGACAGAUCUGAGAAUAAAUUUUCUCUGCAUGGUUUUCCAACAAAAAUUAUGUUUAGAAAAUAGAAAAGGAAAAUGCAUUCUUAUGCAAAGUAAAUAGAAGGUCUCUGCAGAAUAAAAGAGAAAUUUUUUCUGCAUAGAAAAAUAGAUGUUUCUGAAAACAAAUAGAGUUUUUCAGAAAAAGAAAAGUUCAUGGAUUUUAUAAUAGGAAAAUAAAGUCCAUGAAUUUUUCUUUUUAACAGAAUAUUUUUUUGUAAAAGUAUAUGAAUUUUCAUAUUCACGUUUUUCCGCUGCAAAGUAAAAAAGGUUUAGUCCUUCAAUUAAAUUGGAACCAACGGGAAAAAUUUAAUUGGAAGAACAGUUAUUAGCAAAGUUUUUCCCUUGUGGGUGAAAUAGGAUUCAAACAGAUUCCGCUAUGACAAUAGAAUGAUGUUUGUUUUAAAGUUAAAUAUGGUAUUGUUAUUUUCUGACCAACGUUGAUGAUAACAAUACUAUAAUUGUAUGAGUCAUCUUAUGUUUAAAGCUUAAAUCUCUGAUAAAUUUUGUAUCAAAGUGAUCAAUUUUCGGAGCACAGAUAAAGAAAUGCAUAUGGUUAAUGAUGAUGAUGAUUAUUUCUUAGCAAAGUUGUUCAAUAGAAAUACUAUCAUCACAUUGUUUAUGAGUUAUAUGCAUUAUUUGUAUUUCUGCCCAACGGUGAUAUGGAAUUAAUGUAGAAGAAUGAUGUUUUAUUCUAAUUCUGCCACAACGGUGUUUUAGAAUAUUCCAGAAAGUUUUAAAAGGUUUAAUGUGCAUGAUUUUAAUCAGACCAACGUAGGGUUAUUUUUAUGCUCAUUACCGUUGUUUAUUGGCUAAGUUUCUCAGACUAAAAGUUAUUCAAGCUUUCACUCAUGAAAGCGAAUGUUUGGGCACUACUGACCCGAAAGAUGGAAAAGAAAGGUCAUAACUUGAGGGAAUAAAUUCUCUCUAAAGAAUGGCUUCAAAAGAAAAGAACUCUUGAAUAUUAAUUCAAGAAAAGAAAAGAGAUAGAUCAUUGAGAGUCUUGGUUGACGAAUGUCUUUCAUGUACUCUCUAUGAUGGAGUCUCCUUUUUUCAGUCAACGUGAUUGAAAUGAAACAAGCAACAUGCAUGCUUAAUUUGACCAACGUCGGAUCAAACAUGUGUGUCAAAGAUAAUUCAGAUUUAUUUCUGAAUUUGAUGCAGUCAAAAGAGCCAAUUAUGGCAUUUAUGAUGUCCCAUAAAGGGAAUUACCCGCAUGGCGGGAAAAGUCUGGGAAGAAUGCCUGCGUAACCGGGUAAAGUUGACAUUGUAUUAUGUCAACAAUCCGUGUAUGGCGGGAGAAAUUUUGGCAAAGGUCUUAUCCUGUAUGACAGGAGAAAGUUAUGAUGACUCAUGUGUGGUUAAUGUGUCCCACUAUGGAAGAAAAAGUAUGGAGUAGCUAUUAAGCUUUCCUAGUAUUGACCGUACACCUUAUGUGUAACGGUCAUUAUGCAAUCACUAAAUCCAGAAAGGAUAAAAGUAACAGACGAACCUAAAGACAAGAAUGAUAUGCAAGUGUGACUUGCAAAAGUGACAACUAUAAAGAACUCUCUUGAGUUUCGAAAUGAAAUGAGGAAAAAGUACUCCCAUAGUAGUUAACUUAUAACUUCAUUUUACAUGAAGUGAUAAGAUGAAUGAGCUAGAUAAUCGAAGUUUCCUCAUUUCACAAGAACUAUGAAUGGGUUUCGAAAUUGUGGCAGAAAAGUUCUUGCCACAUUUCGAGGGGGAGAUAGAGACAUGAAAUACACUACAAUGUAUUUCAUGACUCCUCUGUACUUUAGACGAUGUGAUGCACAUUAUGCAUCUAAAGUGAUCCAUUAAUGAAGAAUGUGAUUGUCAAGGGGAGUACGACAGUCAUCUGAAUACCUUCAUUAUGAUACCCCUAAAGAAAAGAAACAGUUGUAUUUUCGGAUCUUUUAUAGUUCUGAAAGCAGACUAAGGAAUACAACAGUGGUGCUUAAAGUGCCAUAAAGAAGAAAGUUUAAAGAUACGUCAUUUCUUCAGUGAAGAUGGAGUAAUCUGGGGGAGCAUGUUGUAUGACCUAUACAACACCUGUUGUUAGCUCUACAAGGGAUCUUGUGAUACAGGUCCCUGUAAAACCUAUUGCCUUUUGAAAAUGGGUGACUGUAGAAUGAAUUUGCCUCUUGGCAAUGACAGAGCAACGACAACCCCAUAUGAAAUUGUUGGAAUUAUGCCCUAGAGGCAAUAAUAAAAGUAUAGUUAUUAUUAUAAUUCCUGUAUCAAGAUAAUAGUUUAUUAUCCNNNNNNNNNNNNNNNNNNNNNNNNNNNNNNNNNNNNNNNNNNNNNNNNNNNNNNNNNNNNNNNNNNNNNNNNNNNNNNNNNNNNNNNNNNNNNNNNNNNNUAUAUAUAUAUAUAUAUAUAUAUAUAUGCUACUUCUUGAGCUUGCGUUGGUUUUUCCCUUGAAGUGGAAAGGGUGAUGCAGCAUUGUAGAGAUAAGUACUUCCCUCAGUUUGAGAACCAAGGUAUCAAUCCAGUAGGAUUAUCAAGAUGAGGCACCUACGAAAGACAAACAAACUUCCACCCAACGCGAUAAAGGGGUUGUCAAUGACUUUACGGUUACUUGCAAAGUGAGAUCUGAUAGUGAUAAUAGGUAAAUAUAAAUAAAUAAAUAAAAGUUUAGCAAGGUAUUUUUGGUAUUUUUGUAUGUAAAUCUGAAUUUAAAAUGUGUGGAGUAGACCCGGGGGGCAUAGUGUUCACUAGAGGCUUCUCUCAUGAUAGCAAGUAUUACGGUGGGUGUACGAAUUACUGUCGAGCAAUUGAUAGAAUCGCGCAAAGUCAUGACGAUAUCUAAGGAAUUGAUCAUACAUAUAGGCAUCACGUCUGAGAUAAGUAGACCGAUACUUUCUGCAUCUACUACUAUUACUCCACACAUCGACCGCUAUCCAGCAUUGUAAAGACUAAGAUGCGGUCCUUUCCGAUUUGGGGAUCGAGGCCCCGAAUUGGAAAGAAGCGCAUCUAAGCGUUUCGCAAACAUGGUAACAUANNNNNNNNNNUAUAAAUAAUAGAGGAUGACAAUAAGGGAUUCAACUGUCAUCUCAUAAAAUAUCUCAGAGUUUCAUCACGCAUUCAAAUAAGGUAGUUCUGCUACGGACUACAAAACAAGGGGAAUGACUAUGCUGCCCUGCAUGCUUGGCCAUGAUCAUGACCACGCCUCAAUCUUUUAGAUAGUUCACGUACGGGCGGUCGUUCUCCUCUCGUACAGCCACGCCAGCUGCAUGCCAUCGGGAUCACCUGUCUCGGGGGUACCUGAACCUGUUGGUGUUGUGAAGGAAUCUGUGAGCCAUGGGGACUCAGCAAUCUAUGACCUAUGUGCCAGAACUAGUCAAGUUAUUAGGUUGGAAAGGUGGAGUAUUUAGGUUGCAAUAUUCUAAGAUUAAUAUGGUGGCUAACUUACAUGGAACAUGUAUGAAGGUGGUCUAUACUAGCGUUCGAUGAUAGUUGAUCACUAAGUGAUCUUGAACACCUACCUACGUCAAUCAUAACCCCACCGUGUUCCUGAUCAAAGAGAGAUCUUCGAGGGGACAGUCACAGUUACGCGCACAGUUGGCAAUUUUAUUAGCUUAUGUUUAAGUUAUCUAUUACCGGAUGUUAACAAAUAUUCCAAGUUGCCACAUAACCACGGGCACGACUUUACGAAAGAUCAAACCCUACAGGGGUGCUCCAACUAGUCCAUCACAAACGUACACGGGCCGCAAAGUAAUCCUCUAUCACGAAUCUCGUGAUCUCGUCGGAUUCCUUAGAGGAAAACCUCAACUCUGGGGAGAACCAAAGCUUCACCGGGAUUCCAAUACGCAAGAUAUAUUCCUAAGGUAAGACAAGACUAGCAAGACCUCCCGGUGUGUCGACGACCAUGAUAAGACCCGCGUAUCUCAGUCUCAGGACAACACCGUCUAUGCAUAGUGGACAAGGACCAAACCUCAAGUCUCCUUGGGGUGGUAUUGCCGACUGCUAGGUGGGUGGACCAACACUCAUGGGGAGCACUGGCUCGGGUUGUUGAUUAAAUUCCUCGGGGUAGCUAUUCCCUAUGCAGAUUANNNNNNNNNNNNNNNNNNNNNNNNNNNNNNNNNNNNNNNNNNNNNNNNNNNNNNNNNNNNNNNNNNNNNNNNNNNNNNNNNNNNNNNNNNNNNNNNNNNNCAUAUGUGCAAAAUCACUAGAGCAACACAAGCUCUUGCACAUAUGCCCAUCAAGGCAUAACUUGGCAUGAUAUGUGUGUGGACAUACUCAUAUCAGCACCCACGCACUCACAUAGGAUCUAGCAAAUCUAUAUAUACAUGCACUCAACCAACAAUGCACUCCUACACAUCUAAAACUACACAUGCUCUCCAACACAUGAUAUAGCUACAUAUGCACUCCUAGUGCAAACACACACACAUGCAUAUGACUUGAUACACAUGCACAUGCUCCUGCAAGAAACCUACACCAACAUAUAUACAAGUUGUGUGGGAGGGGAAAACCCUUCACACACACACACACACACACUCACAUGCACCAAAGGCACAAGCACCACAUGACAACAACAUCUACCAUGCAUAAACCCAGGGGUGGAGCUGCGUAGUUGCUCCCUGAUGCACAGGCAUCAGGGUCAAAAAAAUUGUCCAGUAGUGAUUAGCUUCAGUAAUACGUGUGUGCAUCAGGUUACACUUAUUAUUGUGCAUCGGGGAACAGAAAAUUUCUGCGAGCGACAUCUUCCGUUCAGAUGGCCUUUUGGGCAUGGAAGUUGUGAGCCUUUUGACAAUAGGCCCUAGAAGGAAGAAGUUAAUUGAUGUAGGAAGGCGACAACCAGCCAUGCGAGCCAGAAAUCAAUUUAUCGCCGAAACACACAGCCGCACACGCACAAGCGACUAGUCUCAUUUCGAAAAGAAAAAACGGUAGAUAGGCGGACAGCAAUGACUCUCUUUUUUUCAUUUUUUGAUGUGCAAUUUUAUCCAGGCAUGUUUGUACUUAUCAAAUGUACGUAGAUUAUGCCUACUUUUAUUUAGCCAUUCUAUGUUCUGUUGAAAAUUUGUAGUAAACUUUUGGCCAUGUAGAUUGUUGAACCUUUAUGUCUGAUAGUGUAUUCUGAGAUCCGAAAUUAAAAUAUUUUUCCAAGUGAUUUUUUCGUUUGUUUUCAUCAUUCUAGUAAAAACUUGGUGUUACUUUUGUUUUGGUUUUUGCAUUAAUUUGCAUUAUGUUCGUUAGUCUAUGCUGAUGUACAAUACAUGUUUUUUAUUUGGUGCACUCUUGCUAAGAAAUUUACGCCACAUUGAAAUGGUGCAUCAGGGUGACUUUAGGUCCAGCUCCGCCCCUGCAUACACCCUUGUUAGCAACACAUACACCACAUACAUGAUGUUUUUAAGGAGAGGCUAAAUCUCCCCCAUGGUGUGAGGCACACCAAAGCUACAUCUACACAAGCCCAAGGUGAACAACACAAGGAUAAACAAAGCACAACAAAAAAAUAAAAGGUGGGGCAGGAGGGAUCGAACCCUCUACCCCUCUGGUACUGCCCACAGGUACAAACCACCCUGCUAGUGGCCUUGUGCUCAACAGAAUAGAGCAGCCUAGCAAGCUAAACUACUCUGCUGCGCUAAACUACUAUGCCGAAGAAAAAAAAAUAAAAAAGUGUGCCGAGGGGGGAUCGAACCCGCAACCUCCUACUGGCAACAACAACACACUACCACUACGCUACGCAUCAAUCCUUACCAUGUAAGAGGAAGUAACCCUCUUGGGGUAACCCCCCUCUGUUCCUGCACCACAUCCGCGGCGGCCGGAACAGGGGACGGCAAUUGACGGUGAUGCGCGCCUAAUCGAGCUGCGGCUGCUUGCGGGGAGGAAGAGGAGACCACCAGGGUCUCAUUCCCUUGUCGAACCUGGCGAGAAGAAGACCACUACGAUACCUCCAUGACGCAUGGCUAUGCGGCGGCAACGGAGACAGGAUGGCGACGCUAGGAGUCUAGGACGCUACGCGCGAGGGGGAAAAGGCGGAGGAGGGUGAGCUGCUCACCAUGGAGCGUCGGGGCCGCUCUGCUUGACCGAAGGGGAAGAAGGGGAAGCGGACCGCACGACCUGCAGCUGCUCCGUCGACGACGACACGGAGGGGACGCCAGGAAGAAGGUCCGGCCUCGCUAGCGCCAGUAAUGGAACGGGGGAAGGUCCCCCAUCCUCGCGGGCGGCUCGGUCUCGACGGAGACACGGCGGCGGCGAGGGGAGGGACGGCAAUCGACGACGCGUCUCUCUGAACCUCUACUUUCUCUGAAUCUCACCGGGGCUUAGUGUGCAGAGGAGAGGGGGACAGAGAUGGGGAAUAGAAGUGGCGGCGCUAGGAGGGGAGGACGCGGAACCCUAGACAGGCAAGGCACACACGUCGAGGUUAAAUAGAGGCCUUGACGUCCGUGAAGCUCACGGCGUUACACGCCCUCUCUCACACACGUGAAGGGUUUUCCAUUUACAGAAAAUACAGAGAAGAAAAGAAUGCAAAGAAAAAUCUAUAAAUGCUAAAAAUAAUACUAGCACACCCCUGGACGUGAUAAAUUAUUGCCUAUUUGAAUAAAAUACAAAAGAAAUAUUUGGGGCAAUUAAAUAUUUACAAAACAACAAUUGUUUGAUCUGUUUUAUAAUUAUUUGCACCUUUUAAACACACGUUCAAAACAGCAACUUCACAUCUCCACAUCCAUCUCAAAACAACCCAANNNNNNNNNNAAAUCAGGGUAGGCUCAAGUGAAUCUUGAGCUUGGAAUAAAAGGGAGAGGGAAGGGUUUUUAAAACCUAAGCAAAUCACAAGGUAGUUUCUACUAACACAUGCAUACUCCAUGUUGGGGAACGUCGCAUGGGAAACAAAAAAUUUCAUACGCGCACGAAGACCUAUCAUGGUGAUGUCCAUCUACGAGAAGGGAUGAGUGAUCUACGUACCCUUGUAGAUCGUACAGCAGAAGCGAUUAGAGAUCGUGGUUGAUGUAGUGGAACGUCCUCACGUCCCUCGAUCCGCCCCGCGAACAAUCCNNNNNNNNNNCCUUUUGUCUUCUACUCGAAAAGACAUCUACGCAUGAACCUAGCUCUGAUACCACUGUUGGGGAACGUCGCAUGGGAAUUUAUUUUUUCCUACGCGCACGAAGACCUAUCAUGGUGAUGUCCAUCUACGAGAGGGGAUGAGUGAUCUACGUACCCUUGUAGAUCGUAGAGCAGAAGCGUUAGAGAACGCGGUUUAUGUAGUGGAACGUCCUCACGUCCCUCGAUCCGCCCCGCGAACAAUCCCGCGAUCAGUCCCACGAUCUAGUACCGAACGGACGGCACCUCCGCGUUCAGCACACGUACAGCUCGACGAUGAUCUCGGUCUUCUUGAUCCAGCAAGAGAGACGGAGAGGUACAAGAGUUCUCUGGCAGCAUGACGGCGCUCCGGAGGUUGGUGAUGAUCUUGUCUCAGCAGGGCUCCGCCCGAGCUCCGCAGAAACGCGAUCUAGAGGUAAAACUGUGGAGGUAUGUGGUCGGGCUGCCGUGGCAAAAGUUGUCUCAAAUCAGCCCUAAUACCUCAGUAUAUAUAGGAGGGAGGGAGGGGAGGAGGCACCCUCAAACCCUCAAGGUUUGGGCGAAAUUUGAGGUGGAGGAGUCCUAUUCCAAUCCUACUUGGAGUAGGAUUCCACCUUCCCACUUGGAAACUCUUUCCACCUUUUGUUUUUCCCUUCUCAAACCUUAUGGGCCUUAGUGGGAACUUAUUCCAGCCCACUAGGGGCUGGUUUAUCUCUUCCCAUAGCCCAUGAGACCCCUUGGGGCGUGACACCCCUCUUGAUGGUCCCUGUCACCCCUCCCGGCACUCCCGGUACACUACCGAUGAGUCCGAAACUUUUCCGGUAAUGCCCGGAAACUUUCCGGUAACCAAAUGAGGUCAUCCUAUAUAUCAAUCUUCGUCUCCGGACCAUUCCGGAAACCCUCGUGACGUCCGUGAUCCCAUCCGGGACUCCGAACAACAUUCGGUAACCAACCNNNNNNNNNNNNNNNNNNNNNNNNNNNNNNNNNNNNNNNNNNNNNNNNNNNNNNNNNNNNNNNNNNNNNNNNNNNNNNNNNNNNNNNNNNNNNNNNNNNNGUGGAGAUCCUCUCCCCUUCACGCGACAUGGUUGGGGCGGGACGGACGUUCGUGAGGAGGCACCGCACUAGCGCACGGUGCGGCGGCGCGGCACACUACAAGAAAUAUGCUCAUACAUGAUGUUUUUUAAGACGUCGUUGAUGAAUUCGUCAUAAAUCUGUGACGAUUUCAUCCGAGAUUGUCGUAAACCGUUUGAGGGGAUCAAAUCUACAUAUAAAUUACGACGAUGUGAGUCAAAAACGUCGUAACUGCAUAAUAUGAGAUCGUCAUAACUUUUACGACGAUUAUAAAAAUGUCGUAACAUGUUCUAACUAUGUUGACAUGUCACUCGUGGGUCUAUUCUAUGUCACGCGCCAAACCCGCCUAGUUUGUGAAGCAACCUACUAUUAUGUCAUUCCAAGAAUUCUCAAAAAAUUAUCAUAAAUACUUUGGAUCAUAUAUUCCUCAAAUAUGUUAAAACCCUUUCUUCCAUAGUUUGAAAAUAAUUCAGCAAUAUUCAUUUUCCUAUUCUGUUCAGAAUAGCACUUUGUGAAGGAAGUGUUAUUUCUAUUUUUUUGAUUACCCUCAUAUUUUUUAGCACUAUUUCCUAUCCAAAUCAUUGCCUCAUGAAAACUUUCGUAACAAUUUGCGUAGUAAAUCUUUCUCAGCAAAUUUCCAAAGCUUGUGUUCAGCUAACAACUUUGUGAAGGAAGUACUAGAUAGGAAUAUCCUGAUGAGUUGAAUUUUUGCCACAUCUUCUAUGUGUCCAAAACAUAGCUCUCCACAAAAGUUUAGCCCCAUCUGACAAUCCAUGUGAGCUCAUCAUCCAAUCUUUGUUUCUGCUAAUAUUUUUAUUUUGUGAAGCAACUACAUUUUAUAUUGCUUUAUAGUUGAUGAAAAUUUACCACGGGAUGAAACUGACCAUGUAACCUCACUCCACCAAAUUUUAGCUCAUUUAAUUUAGCCAGAUUCCCUCAAUAUUUUUUCCAAUAUUCUGUUUAGUAGAGAGCAUUGUGAAGGAAGUACAAUUUUUGUUUAUCCAAAUUUUAUGAAAUUUUUACAAUGCCUUAAUGUGCCCAAAUUAUCAUCAUACACCAAAUUUCAACUCAAUGCAUUCAUUCAUUUGAUCCCAGCUUCGACAUACAUAUUUCUGCAUAGUGUGGUACUUUGCAAAGCAAGUGCCACCUAUGUUCAUUCAUUUGAGCUAAAAAUUUGCCACGAGAGUCUCCUUAGUACAUAAUCACCCUCAGCCAAAAUUUAGGCCCAUUGUCUAUGUUCAUUACCCGCACCGCUAAUCAAACACUUGGCUGCUAAUUCAUGUUUGAGCUUAGUUCGGUCUCCUCGUGAGAUUCUUCUAUUGUAUUCUUCUUCCGGACACCUACCGAGGGAGUGUCCAACCCACCUGACAUGCCUAUUCCACCCAGAAUGCGUGGCAACGCAACGGUCAGCCGGUGACCAUGCGGCUCGCAUCCAAGUUCACGCGCUCUGCAGUUGGGGCCCUCGACCACCAUCCAAACCUCGGCGUCAAGUCACCACACCAUGUAAUUAUAAUUAAAUAGAUACUUAUGUACCUAUAAAUGAUUUUUGGGAAAAACAAAUAGCAAAUUAUAAUGCACCUGCAGUUCAAAUUUGACCCGCUUCCAACUGAAUCGACAUAAAUUUGUCAUUUUCAUGAGAGGUGGAUAAAAGCAGUUAACACCCAACCAUUUUGUCAAUUGUUCAUUAAAUAUGUCCUAGUAUUUUAUAAAAAUGAUAUGGUCCAAUUUUGAAACAAAUAUAUGGUAGGUCCUUCACAAAAAAAAUCAUUUUGAGCACUUGAAAAAUGGAAAAUAAUUUUUACAUAGAAGGAAAAUGAAAACUUUCUUAAUCAACAUUGUUUGCCAUUCUAAUAUGCACUCCUGUGCAUAAUAUUAUAUCAUUUGAACAAACUAUGUCAUGAAUGUGGCUAUAAGAUUGAUCAUUUGGCUUGAAAGUCAUGAAUCUUCACACAUGAUAGCCCAUUUCAAAGAACACCUUUUCAAAAUAAUCACCGUAUUAAAAGUUUAUUAUUUUUCCUGGUAACUUGUCACAUAUUAUGACACAACGCGGAGGUUUUCCAUUUUUUUGAUUUUUUGUUUGAAUUUUCAUUGCCAUUUCAAAAUGUUGUCGAAAUGACGGGCAUGACCGUUCAUAGCUAGGGGUUGAAUCUUGCCAAAUUUUUGUUGGAUCUAUGAUUAAAUAGAUACUUAUUUAUCUAAAAAUGUUUUUUGUAAAAAAUCAUGAGAAAACUAUGAGGCACCUCUAGUUCAAAUUUGACCCGCUUCCUUCUGAUUCGGCAUUAAUUUGUCUUUUUCACUAGAGGUGGAUAAAAGCUUUUAACAUCCAACCAUUUUGUCAAUUGCAAAUUAAAUAUAGCCUAGUAUUUAGAAAAAAUGAUUUGAUACAAUUUUGAAACAAAUAUAUGUUAGGUUCUUCACAAAAAAACUCAUUUUGGGCACUUGAAAAAUGGAAAAAUAUUUUUACAUACAAGGAAAAUGAAGACUUCCUUAAUCAGCAUUGUUUGUCAUUACAAUAUGCACCCUUAUGCACAAUAUUACAUCGUUUCAACAAACUAUGCCAUGAAUGUGGCCAUAAGAUUGAUUAUUUGGCUUGAAAACCAUGAAUCUUCACACAUGAUAGCACAUUUUUGAGAACACUUUUUUAAAAUAAUUGUUGUAUUACAGGGUUAUUAUUUUCCUGGUAUCUUUGUCACAUAUAAUGACACAAUGCAAAGGUUUUCCAUUUUUUUGAUUUUUUUUAAAUUUUGCAUGGCCAUUUUAAAAUGCGGUCAAAACGACCGGUAUGACCGUUCUUACCUAGUGGUUGAAUCUUGGAAAUCUUUUGGUGUUUCUCUGAUUAAAUAGAUACUUUUGUACCUAUAAAUGAUUUUUGGAAAAAAUAAAAAUAAAUAUAUAAUGAAGCUACAGUUCAAAUUUGACCCGCUUCCAGCUGAAUCGAUGAAAAAUUGUCUUUUUCACGAGAGGUGGAUAAAAGCUUUUGACACCCAACCAUUUAGUGAAUUGUACAUUAAAUGUGGCCUAGUAUUUUAAAAAAUUGGUUUGGUCCAAUUUUACAACAAAUAUAUGGCAUGUCAUUAAUAAAAAAACUCAUUUUGGUCACUCGAAAAAUAGAAAAUGGUUUUUUUUUACGGAAAGAAAAUGCCACCCCAAAUCAACAUUGUUGGUCAUCCCUAGAUACACACAUGUGCAAAACAUUGUUUCAGUUCAACAAACUAUAAGAGGUUAAAUGUUACCCUGAAUAAGAGGGUAAAAACUAUAAAAGAAAAACAAAAAACAAAAUUUUACUAGAUGAACUCUGAUUGGUGAUAUCAGUUGUGACAUGGAUCAAUGACAUGGCAAGCAUCCGUCCGUCCAUCCAUCCAUAUAUCCGUCCCUCCGUCAAUCCUAGCCCUCUCUCUCGCGCAGAAAACACCUCCCUCUCUCUCACGUUCAAACCCUAGCCUUGCAGCNNNNNNNNNNNNNNNNNNNNNNNNNNNNNNNNNNNNNNNNNNNNNNNNNNNNNNNNNNNNNNNNNNNNNNNNNNNNNNNNNNNNNNNNNNNNNNNNNNNNUCCGAUCUAGAGGGAUGCACUGAAGCGAUGGGAAGUCCACCGCCGCCGCUACCGCAUCUCUCUCUGCUUCCCCACCGUCGCCACUACGUCACGACGGUCACCGGAGGGAACUCAUCGAGCACGGGAUAAGGUAACAUACCACUACUCUCACCGAACACAUCUAGCCUUGUCGAUCCACGAGAUCUAUCAAUGGUAUGAGGAGCCACGAGGCUUAGAUGUGUUUUCGGUUGAAACACGACAAGGAUAACAUUUCCCCUCCCCGAUAUGAACCCUAGAUGGGCAAAGAAACCGAAGAUGGCCACGGGCCUCGUCGGCAAAGUAGCGCCGCCGCAAGGCCGCGCNNNNNNNNNNNNNNNNNNNNNNNNNNNNNNNNNNNNNNNNNNNNNNNNNNNNNNNNNNNNNNNNNNNNNNNNNNNNNNNNNNNNNNNNNNNNNNNNGCAUCGGCAAGCCGAGGUGUGGGGAAGAAGAACCUACCUUCUCAAAGGCAAAGUAUGGAUCUGAAAAGAUCCAAAAGGAAAACAAAGAAAGGAUAUGAUUAGAUCCAAAAGAAAAAGAAAAAACAAAAGAUCGGAUUGGAUCCGAAAGAGCAAAAAAAAAGGGGGGGGAUGCAAAGAAAAGGCCUACACCCCAACCGGGGCAAAGGGCACCACCACCGCGCCCUUGAUGGUGGCGCGUUCACCUUGAAAGUGCUCGCGCGUGCCGGCAAAGGAACGGAGAUGGAGCCACCGUAUCAUGCCGCUGUGCCAUAUCUCUACACGGCAAGGAAAAGGAGCACCACGGCCAACCCACUCGACGGCGGCGCGCUCACCGCAAGGGAACGCGCAACCGGCGAAAGGGGAGGCCACGGCGCCACUAUCUCUUACUCUGCCGACGCCUUGGUUCUCUCUCUNNNNNNNNNNNNNNNNNNNNNNNNNNNNNNNNNNNNNNNNNNNNNNNNNNNNNNNNNNNNNNNNNNNNNNNNNNNNNNNNNNNNNNNNNNNNNNNNNNNNUGUCCACCUCUUCUGCGUCGUCCCGCGGCAACAGCUCGUCCAUGACGACCUACUCUUCCACUACGACGACGGCGACCUCGCCGCCGACCUGGCCCGGUCCGAGGAGUCCGUAUUGGACGCGCGUCGUGGGGUGUUCGACGAGGACGAGCCCUGGCAACGCAAGAUCCAGCGCCUCCUCCCCGCCGACGGAAUCACAGUCAAGCACAUCAGGUGCGAGUUUGAUUGUUUCCUCAUGAGGAACUUUUCUGUGGUUGCUUGCCUGAAUGAAAUCAGUACAUGUUCAGAUAACUGAAUUAUACAUUGUUGUGUGUAGUCUUUGUCAGAAAUAUAUACGGAGUACUACGGUACUGACAGACACUAGUGGGGACAGGGCCUAUAGCCCCGGCCCAUAAGGGGCUUUAGUCCCGGUUCACCAACCGGGACUAAAGGGGCGGGACUAAAGGCCUAACCUUUAGACCCGGCCCUGUUACAAGCCGGGACUAAAGAUGCUCCACGUGGGCGCCUCGUAGCGCCCCACGGGCAGGACCUUUAGUCCCGGUUCGUUACACGGGCCGGGACUAAAGAUUUUUAGAUUUUGCUGGUUUUUGGGUUUUUUUUGAAUGAAAUUAUUUUUGGGUUUUACGGUUUUAGGGUUUAGGUGUUCGGGAGAUUAACGUGAUGCCUCGUUUGGUUUUCGGGAAUUAGUUUUCAUAUAAUUUAAAUAGAAAGAAAGAUGCACAUAUAUAUAAGAUUAACUUAUCUUACAAGCGAGCAUAUAUAUACAAUUAUAUGCAGAUCUGAAUUAUCGGGACUAGAGCCCGUCUAUUCGAUUACAUGGACGAACAUCAGUAAUGGCCCUUAGCUACACUAAAUCGUCCUUUGUCAUCUAUAGCUUCCGUCCUCAGAAAUCCCGCAAGCUCCUGUGCAACAGCAAUCGCGCGUUGCUCUGGUAGGACCUUCGUCCUCAUGGCCGUGUGCUAUAUAAGAAGAGGAGAUGAAUAUGAAUAUCAAUCAUGAUAACAAAGAAUGACGGGUAAAAAUAGAGGUGUGAAUGUUCAUUNNNNNNNNNNNNNNNNNNNNNNNNNNNNNNNNNNNNNNNNNNNNNNNNNNNNNNNNNNNNNNNNNNNNNNNNNNNNNNNNNNNNNNNNNNNNNNNNNNNNUACGGGGGCGACGGGGAUAUGUUCGCGAAGUUGUUGCUCGCGGACAUGAGACACGUGGAUGUGGAGAGGGAAAUUUAAGGCAUGAUCGGUCACUGUCUACGGACACGCCGAACGCGUCCAUGGACAUUUGAGGAAUCAAAUUUGCAAGAUCCGACUAUAGAUGCUCUUACACCAGCCAGUAGUUACCGAUUGGCAAUCCACCGUCCAUCAAUUUCACUAAUAUCUGUGACACGAUAUAAAGUUGUAAAUCCAUUAUCUGUCCUAUACUCAAUAAAUACAGACAAGACUGGCAUGCACUCACACAUUUGUAUCAAAAUACAUGCAUGUCAUGCAGCUUUGUACAAGAGAGAAAGUUGGGAUGGAGACCGAUUCAUGCACGAUUCUCUCUCCCCACAUAAAUGACAUUGACGUUCCGAACAAGAUCAUNNNNNNNNNNCCACGAUAUAAAGUUGUAAAUCCAUUAUCUCUCCUAUACCCAAUAAAUACAGACAAGACUGGCAUGCGCUCACACAUUUGUAUCAAAAUACAUGCAUGUCAUGCAGCUUUGUACGAGAGAGAAAGUUGGGAUGGAGACCGAUUCAUGCAUGAUUCUCUCUCCCCACAUAAAUGACAUUGACGUUCCGAACAAGAUCAUGUUGAAUGAUAGGGCAUUUUGAAUGAUUGUCCUAUUUUAGACCAAUGCCCAUUUUUGAAACCUUUUAUAUAUUUCAAAUCAUGUUGACAAGACGUUCCGAACAAGAUCAAUACUGGUUCUAUUUGAAUUACUUUUUAUUUUUUAUAUUUCAAUUGUCUUUUGAAUCACUUUCAUAAAACUAAAGAUACUUUUGUUAUUUCAUACAAGUGUUAAUGAAUGUUGUGUUAAUUUAAAAAAUGUAUUUCAUCAUUUACAAAAAACUAAUUUCAGUCAUUUUAAACAUUCGUUUCACUUAUUUUAAAAGACACAUUUCACUGAUUCGAGAAAAUAAUAUUUCACUCAUCUCCAAAAUAUGGAUCUAGGGCCAUCAAAAAUGAAGGAUUUAACUCAUCCCAAAAUUUAUUUCACACAUUUCAAAAAAUUGAUUUUACUCAGUUCAUGAAACAGCUGAUUUUACUCAUUCGAUACAACUGAUUUCAGUCGUUUCAAUUGAAAGAAAUACAUGUUUCAAUAAUUUUCAUAAUCAAAUUUCACUCAUUUCGAAAUGAAAAUAUUCUUGUUUCAAGAAGCUAGUAUAUGUCAAAUAAAAAUAAACUUAAAAAUAUUUCAUAAAAGUAACCUCACUCAGUUGAUUUCAAUCGUUUCAAAUUAAUCAUUUAAAGUAUUUCAAAAAACCGUUUUCACUCAAUUCAAAAAACUAUGACUUCACAAAACAAAUUCGCCCGCUCCAUAAAACAGAUUUCGCUCGUUUCAAAAAUUAGAUUUCACUUAUUUACAAAANNNNNNNNNNNNNNNNNNNNNNNNNNNNNNNNNNNNNNNNNNNNNNNNNNNNNNNNNNNNNNNNNNNNNNNNNNNNNNNNNNNNNNNNNNNNNNNNNNNNCGUCGCCUACGCCCCCACGUGGCUCGGCCGCUCCCGCGUCGCUAGCAGCCUCUGCAUGUGCGCCUCGGGAUCGCCUCCUGUCUGCUGCACACUCCGCCAUGCCUGUCGGGUCGUCCGACACGCAUGCAGCCGACGAUACUGCCGGCUCGGGUGUUUCACGUUCGCUACACGACUCCUUCGACGAAUCCCCUGUCUCGGCUACAGUACCGCGCCUUCCGCAACAGCUUGCUCGUCCUACACCUCCUCCGCCUGCUCGAGCGCACACACGUGCCCAGGGAGGUAUUCUCAAACCGAAGGUAUAUACUGAUGGCUGUGUACGCUGGGGCUCGUUCUGUUCCACAGGUGAACCACAAAGCCUUGUUGAAGCUCUUGGUGAUACCCGAUGGAAAGCUGCUAUGGAUGAGGAAUUUGCUGCUCUCAUCAAGAACCAGACAUGGCGUCUUGUUCCUCCUGCUACAGGCCAGAAUAUCAUUGACUGUAAAUGGGUUUAUAAAGUAAAAAGAAAAUCUGAUGGCACUAUAGACAGGUAUAAGGCAUGUCUUGUUGCUAAGGGUUUUAAGCAACACUAUGGCUUGGAUUACGAGGAUACGUUUAGCCCUGUUGUCAAGGCUGUCACUAUCAGGUUAAUUCUGUCAAUAGCUGUAUCUCGUAAUUGGUGCAUGCGACAGCUAGAUGUGAAGAAUGCGUNNNNNNNNNNUAAGGCUGCCACUAUCAGGUUAAUUCUGUCUAUAACUGUAUCUCGUAAUUGGUGCAUGCGACAGCUAGAUGUGAAGAAUGCGUUCUUGCAUGGCGUUCUAGAAGAGGAAGUAUUUAUGCGGCAACCUCCAGGGUAUGAGCAUCCUCACUCACCUCACUAUGUUUGCAAACUUGAUAAAGCAUUGUAUGGUCUGAAACAAGCACCUAGAGCCUGGUAUUCUCGUUUGUCCUUCAAGUUGCAAUCCCUAGGGUUUGUUCCAUCCAAGGGGGAUACAUCACUCUUCGUUUAUCAUAAGCAUGGAGUAACUAUUUUUAUGCUGAUCUAUGUUGAUGAUAUAGUUGUUACUAGCUCAUCAAGUCAAGCAGUUGAAGCUCUUCUUAAGGACUUGAGAAAAGAUUUUUCUCUCAAAGACCUAGGUGAUCUACACUUCUUCCUUGGCAUUGAGGUUAAAAAGGUACCCAGUGGGAUCAUGAUGUCACAAGGAAAGUAUGUGCAGGAAAUACUCCAGAGAAUAGGUAUGAAAGGGUGCAAACCUUCUUCUACACCUUUAUCUACAUCUGAAAAAUUAUCUGUCCAUGAUGGGGAAGUACUUGGAGCAGAAGACUCCACCAAAUAUAGAAGUAUUGUAGGAGCAUUGUAGUAUUUGACGUUAACUAGACCAGAUAUCUGUUAUUCAGUAAAUAAGGUAUGUCAGUUCUUGCAUGCUCCUAGUACUACACACUGGACAGCGGUAAAGAGGAUACUGAGGUAUUUCCAAGGGACAAGGAGUCAUGGACUCAAGAUCAGUAAGUCAGAUUCAAUGCUUGUAAGUGCUUUUUCUGAUGCAGAUUGGGCAGGAUGCCCAGAUGAUAGAAGGUCUACAGGAGGCUUUGCAGUAUUUCUUGGAGGAAAUCUAGUAUCAUGGAGUGCUCGUAAACAACCCACGGUCUCUAGGUCGAGCACCGAAGCAGAAUAUAAAGCUCUAGCCAAUGCCACUGCCGAAGUUAUUUGGGUUCAGAACAUGUUGAAUGAACUUGGGAUACGUCAUCCAAAGGCAGCCUCCCUGUGAUAAUCUUGGUGCUACAUACUUAGCUGCUAAUCCAGUUUUUCAUGCCAGGACUAAGCAUAUUGAGAUUGACUAUCACUUUGUUCGAGAACGUGUUGCCGACAAGCUGCUGAAUGUUAGGUUUAUACCUACAGGUGAUCAAGUUGCUGAUGGCUUUACUAAACCGCUUACUCUUAGGCAGUUAGAAGCAUUUCGACACAAUCUCAACUUAGAUAGUUGUGAUUGAGGGGGAGUGUUAAACAUUGUAUAGUUAGGAUACGGUGGUGUAUAAACCGUGUCCAACUCUUUGUAAACCGGUAGGUCUAGAGNNNNNNNNNNNNNNNNNNNNNNNNNNNNNNNNNNNNNNNNNNNNNNNNNNNNNNNNNNNNNNNNNNNNNNNNNNNNNNNNNNNNNNNNNNNNNNNNNNNNGGCGAAAGCCUUAACUUUGUUGGGCGGCGGCGGCGCUCACAACGUCGUUCCCUUCUUGAAGGCGCCUCUUUGGGAAUCUUGGGGCUGGGUGGCGCUUGUGGGUGGUGGGCAACGGCGGUGGUGCGGCCCUAUCCUAGCAUGGAUCUCCGUCCGUUGCUUGGAGAUGGACUCGCGUAGGUGGAGGUUGUCGUUUGGCGUCAUGGUGGCGUCGAUGGCGGAGACACCUGCCAAGGCUGGUACCUCAAUCUGAUAUGAAGAUGGACCAAUGGAAGAUGGCGGUGAUGACACAUGUGAGUGUGUCAGACCGGUUUGUGCCCCGGAUCCGGUAUGUGGCCCGGUCAGGGUCUCCGGCUUUAGAAGUUAGGCUUAGGUGAGAGGUAUGGGUAUUUGGUCCAGCUUGCACCCCUUCAUCAUAUGGAUAGGAGUAGCGACAAAUGUUGCAAAGAUGACGGAUUCAGGCAUAUUGUUGUACUGUUUUGUAAGGUUCUCGAAAAUAAUCAAUAAAAUGACCGCAUUCAUCUUCCAGAUGCAGAUGCCGGGGGUCAUCCUCCUUUUCUAAAAAAAACCAGUACAUCGACUCAGCUAGAGGAUCAAUAUCCUAGGUCCAAGGAAAGAACAAGAACUUUGUAGAUCCAACUAGACAUAUCCUUUUCAUUUAUCGACUACUUUACCACGAAUCAAAUUUUAAGACGAUUUAUUAAAUAUUAUGUAAAAGAACUAAAUAUUUUUUCAAUUCAUGUGGCGCGGCGUGCCGCCGCGCACUACCUGCUAGUUAAUUCUAGGGAGCACCUAGAACUCAGCUAGCUAAGAUUUAUCUAUGGUCUCAUUCACAUGACAUCAUCAUAUAUGUUGGUUGGCUUUUUUUUAUUCUCCCCAUGAUUUCCACAUGCCGUAUUGCUUUUUCAGGCUUGGCCUUUUUACUACUCUUGUCGCCGAUGGCUAGAGCAAACAUACUAACCCAUAAGAAAAGUAUAUACGUCUUACUCGGCUGGCAUGUACAACAUAAUUUUAGUUGCCAUAACACAUUUAUGGAGUGUUCUCUUUGCUGUCCUAAAAACGAGUGUUUUUGCUUUUUUUAGUUUUGAUUUAGUUCAGCAGUAGUCACCAGCAUGAUGCCUCUGGCGCACAGGAUCAAUCCCGGUCUUGUCUCAUGUUUUUUUAUUUUUUUUAUUGAAAAAUCAUCAUCUUUCUAAAUGAUGGAGUUUGUUGUUGUGACUCCACUAUGAAAAUUCAGAGUUGUGACCCGACUAUGAAACUUGUAGUUACGACCCGACUUCAAACUUGUACUUGCGUAUUGAGAUAGACGAACAAAUUGAGAAAAUCAAAAGAACCAACCCAGAUUGAUCUGUCAAGUAUCACUAACUACAACACCCAAGGUAACACUUGCCGCCUUCCUAUUUUUUCGUUUUUCUAUUUCUGAAGCAAGGUUUAUUCGCUAUCCAUAUUUGCUCAAUUUGUUCUUAUGACCCGACUGCAUGCUAGGGAAAAAAAUAAGAAAUGCAAAAACCUCAUGAACCCUUUAUGUUUUUUUGCGGCAAACCCCAUCGAAGCUAUGCAGUUGCGGCAAACCCCAUUGAAAGGCAUGCAAUUGCGGUAAACCCCAUCAAAGACAUGCAGUUGCGGCGACCCAAUUGCAGACAUGCAAUUGCGAUGAUCCCCGUUGAAGGCAUGUAGUUGCGGAAAAAAACACAUGGGAGGGCAUGCAGUUACGGCGGGCACGCGGUCACAUCAUCAACAACAACAAACAACAUCAAUUGGAAGGCGUGCAAUUGCGGCAAACCCCAUCGAAGCCAUGCAGUUGCGGCGACCCCGUUGCAGACAGGCAAUUGGGGCGAUCCCUGUUGAAGGCAUGUAGUUGCGGAAAAAAACACAUGGGAGGGCAUGCAGUNNNNNNNNNNCUUGCGGUGACCCCCGCUGAAGGCAUGUAGUUGCGGAAAAAAACACAUGGGAGGGCAUACAGUUACAGCAGGCACGCGGUCACAUCAUCAAGAACAACAAACAACAUCCAUUGAAAGGCAUGCAAUUGCGGCAAACCCCAUCGAAGACAUGCAGUUGCGGCGACCCCGUUGCAGACAUGCAAUUGCGGCGAUCCCCGUUGAAGGCAUGUAGUUGCGGAAAAAAAUAUGGGAGGACAUGUAGUUACGGCGGGCACGCGGUCACAUCAACAACAACAACAAACAACAUCAAUUGGAAGGCAUGCAAUUGCAGCAAACCCCAUCGAAGCCAUGCAGUUGCGGCGACCCCGUUGCAGGCAUGCAGUUGCAGUGACCCCCGUUGAAGGCAUGUAGUUGCGGAAAAAAACACAUGGGAGGGCAUGCAGUUACAGCGGGCACGCGGUCACAUCAUCAAGAACAACAAACAACAUCAAUUGGAAGGCAUGCAAUUGCGGCAAAAAACACAUGGGAGGGCAUGCAGUUACGGCAGGCACGCGGUCACAUCAACAUCAACAACAAACAACAUCAGUUGGGAGGCAUGCGAAUUGCGGCGACACCGUUGCACGCAUGCAGUUGCGGCGACCCUGUUGCACGCAUGCAAUUGCAGCAACCCCGUUAAAGGUAUUAGCAUAAAUCAUAUUCAAAACACAUUCAAAACACCAGUAUUCGCACAAAAAGCGCAUUACAUCAUAUAUAUAACCAAAGGUGUUUGUUAUAUUGCACUUCUCCAUUUUCGACAUAUACUUGGCCCAAAACCCUUACGGGCAUACAGUUGCAACAAAAUGCCUCGACGACAUGCAAUUCCAACAAACUCCUUUGGAGGCAUGCAUUUGCACAUACAGUUGGAACAAAACACGUGGAGCAGAUGCAGUUGGAACAACCCCAUCGAAGGCAUGCAGUUGCAGCAACCUAGUGGAAGGCAUGCAAUUACACCAAAAAUCGUGGAAGGUGUGCAGUUGACAACCACGUGGAACGCAUCCAGUUGCGACAACCCCCCAUCGAAGGUACAAAAUUGCACUGGCUCCGUCGUAUGCAUGCAAUUGCGACAACCCCUAUAAGACGUGCAAAUGCGGCAAAACCUUGGAAGGCAUGUAAUUGCAACCCCCAUCAAAAAUACAUGCAAUUGCAGCAACCCCGUUGAAGGCAUGCAAUUACAUCAAACCCAUGGAAGGCGUGCAAUUGCGACAACCCCCAUCGAGGGUAUACAAUUAGGACCCAUCUUAAAAACAUGCAAUUGCGACUCAUCUUAAAAACAUGCAGUUGCGACCCCUCUUAAAAAACACAUGCAAUUGCGGCCCACCUUGUAAACAUGCAGUUACGACCCCGUCUUAAAAACAUGCAGUUGCAACUCAUCCUGAAAAUGUGCAGUUGCGACCCCGUCUUAAAAACAUGCAGUUACGGGCCCUCAUGGAAACUUCCAGUUGCAUUCAGGUCAUAACAUUUGCAGUUGCACGUCUAGUGGUGAACAUGCAAGUGACCCCGACAACUCCCCCUCCUGAGCAGAGUUGCGGCCCCUUUUUUCCAAUCUCAAGUUCAUUAUUGUGUUCACAUGGGUAUUUUAAAAAAAUAAAAUAAGAGACAUUUUUUGCAAAACUAAAAACCUAAACAAUCAAUUUGAAAUAUCCAGUAACAAAUGAAUUUUAUUCUAAAGCAAAGUAAAUAUACUAAAGUCAAGAAAAAGAGAAAAUAGGGAAACAAUUGUCUACUCUAUAUAGUGAAAUAAGAAAGAAAAACAGAAGAAAAAAAAUACAACGAUACAUCAUGAGAAGAAGAUAAAAAGAAAAAGAAAUUAAAAUGAGCUUAGCCCUCACCCGCAAAAAAGAAAAAGAAAAAAAGAAAGAACUUAUUACCCCUAGAAGCUAUAGUGAACAAAUGACAAAACAUGCACAAAGCUAGCAGCGUGGCAUCUUUAGACCCCAUCUUUCUUUACGUCGGUUAAUAAAGAAAAGACUCACAAAACUCAGCUCGUUUAAAUAAGCAAAAAGGCCUGGAGAAAACUCAUGCACAUGGCUGAUCCUCCUACGAGACGAGCCGUCCAUCAUGGCUCCCGCAAUUAACAAAAGACAGGGUGAAUCUAGCGAGACAACCAGAGAAACAUAAAGUGACUAUGACCAUACUUAAAACUCAGCUAGCUGAGUUUCAGCAAAACUGUUAAUUCUAUGCGUCUUCACCGUUGUAGAUUAUUAAAGAUUCUAGUAUUCCCUACGAUCAAUUCGAUGUAAACCGCGAUGCUCCACUUAUUUUUUAUGGGGGGGAGCAGUAUAUUAUUUGAACUGGUGAUCGACUUUAUCUCCGACAAAAAGGGUGACCAACUUUAUCUACGCGCAUAGAUAUACGGCAUAUGGUAAUGUUCAAAGGAUCUGCCCUGCACCGAGCCGCUCGCAGAAUUGGAUCGCCGACGGGUUGGCCGUAAACUGGGAGCGCCCGCCCAGACAACUCGCCAACAAAAUUGAGUGCACGCUGAGUGACACUGCACUCACGCACAUGCUCUUAUAUGUUAUCCUACACACGAACACGCUCCGUGCCAAUCCUGAUGGAUUUUAUCAACCUCCGCACAGCCCGCCGGUAUCGGGCCCUGUUUGAUUUCAAUAAAUCAGAUGACUUAGCCCUUAUUUGGUUUCAAAUACCAACUUAUAAGUUUAAAAAUGCAAAAGUGACUUAUUUUGUCAAACAGACCCAACUUAUAAGUCAUCCCAACUUAUAAGUCAUAAGUUGCUCCACCCCAACUUAAAACUUAUAAGUCACCCACUUUUGCAUGAAAAGGUGACUUAUAAGUCAGAUGAGUCAUCUGACUUAAAGGUCACUUAUAAGUCAGACCUUAUAAGUCAGAUGAGUCAUCUGACUUAUAAGUCACCUGACUUAUUGAAACCAAACAGGGCCAGUGACUUUUAAAUCAGGUGACUUAAAACCAGUGACUUAUAAAUCACGCAUGUUUGGUUGUCAUCUGACUUAUAAGUCACCUGACCAUGCAAAAGUGGGUGACUUAUAAGGUUUAAGUGGGGGUGAAGCAACUUAUGACUUAUAAGUUGGGGUGAUUUAUAAGUUAGGUCUGUUUGGCAAAAUAAACUACUUUUUGUACUUUUCAACUUAUAAGUUGGUGACUUAUUUGAAACCAAACGGGCCCUCGGUAUCAAAAACACGGUCUGGCUUGCUUCCCACCGUAUCAAGUGUCAACCCGGCCGCACGCUGGUUGCCCGGCAACCUGUAAAUUCUCGCUCUGCCCAUCUCAUCUCAUAUCGCUCACACUGCUACUCAUCUUAGCCCGUCGGCGAUCUCGCAGAAUUACUGGGCUACUGCCACUACUAGUUCACUUCCUUCCGAUCUCGUGUCGCCAACAUCAAGCUCUCCGCCCGUGAACAUGUCGACGGUGACCCGUCCCUACCUCGACCAGAGGCUCGCCGCCGCCAAGCGCCCACGACUGAUUCCAGCCUUAGCCCAGCAAUGCUAUUCAUUGCGGCGGCUUAUGUUUCUGCUGAAACCUGAACUUGGUUAACAGUCGUACGUUGAUCCCAAACUGCAGAGGCUGCCAUGGCGGGAGCCAAGGCCGCGGCCGUCGCCACCGUCGCCGCCGCAGUGCCCACCGUAAGCACACGUUUAUCAGCCUGCACCACUGAGUUUUUGACGUCGAACGAAUAAUCAUCUCACCGUCUUCUUCUUGCGUGCCUUUUUCUGCAGCUGGCGAGUGUGAGGAUGCUUCCGUGGGCCAAGGCGCACCUGAACCCCGCCGGUCAGGCGCUCAUCAUCUCCACCGUCGCCGGGAUGGCCUACUUCAUCGUCGCCGAUAAGACCAUCCUCUCCAUGGCCAGGAAGCAUUCCUUCCAGGACGCGCCGGAGCACCUCAAGAAGACCUCCUACCACUAAUUAUGUUGUAGAUCAACUAGUGCGCAGCAACCUCUGUACGCCGCCCCGUAGUAGUAGUAUAAUGUUGGGGCGAUCUGGCCCAGUGCGAUGUUUACUGCGAGCAAAGCACUAGUUAUCUGAUCAUGUAUGAAAUGAAAUAAUGUUGCCAACUUCUCCAUCUUAGUAUCUUUCCAGAGAUCUUUAGUUAAUAACAACAACUCCCUCUGUUUCUAAAUAUAAGUCUUCUAAGAAAUUUCAUUAGAGAUUUACAUACAAAUUAAAAUGAGUGAUUCUACACUUUAAAGUAUGUCUAUAUGCAUCCGUAUGUUGUCCGUUAGUGAAACCUCUAGAAAGACUUAUAUUUAGGAACGAAGGGAGUAGUUUUAAUUUCGUACAUCUCUGGUUCAAGUGCCCUCACUCAUCUAAUAUUUUUCUUGUUUGCGAAGAUUACCAUUUAGCAUGCGUACUAAGUACUUCGGAGCAUUGCAAAACGCCGAAAUGACACCACACCACAAGUACAUUUUUUGAUCCCUUUUCCGCCCCUAUUCUGUUUCGGAAUGCAUGUGAGGACAAAGCCAUCUAACCUCGCUCGUUAAAUCUUUUGAUACGGCUUAUUGGAUGGGUUGACAAAUAGGGAUGGGUUUAAAAAUGAAAAAUUUGGCCGUUUUGAAACAAGUGUUCUUUUUUAUUUUGAAUACCGUAACAAGCUUUAUGUAUUGUUAUUUAACAUAAUAGACAGUACAGACAAUGACGUUUUGAAGCGUGUGUUUUUCUUUUAUUUUGAAAACCGUAACAAUCUUUAUGUAUUGUUAUUUAACACAAUACAUAGUAUAGGCGCAGACACUUGUAUAUACACACGUAUACUUACAUGUACACACUCACAUACUAUCUUUGCGAGCAUCUUUGAUAGGUUGAGCCGGUACAUUAUCUUAAAAUUGUCGAAGUUGCUACAUGCGUCAUCAUAGUCGACCAGAAUGCCUACUCCCAUUGAUCGUAUAUCGUCGGAAAACAUGUAAUAAUUAAAAAAACAUGAGUUUUUUGUAUUCGUAAAGCCGUAUGUGCAUGUUUGAGGUGCUUGUCAGCAAAGGCUCAUAAUUAAAGUCGUCAUGUGUAGGUUUGAGGUGUUUAUCACUAGAGACUCAUAAAGCCGUCAUGUGUAGGUUCGAAGUGUUUGUCACCAGAGGCCGGAAUACUUUAACACUUUCUUAAUCGUUCGUUAGAUAAAAGUAUAUCCAUAUCUACGCGUAAGGUCAGGGGCGGAGACAAGGGGGCGAGCAGGGGCCUGGCUCCCCCUAACGGUCGAUAAAAUCUGAAGUACCUAGUGUAUAUUUGAUUGAUAUGUCAUAGUAUGUAAGUAUUUGGCCCCCCUAUCCACGGCCACAUCCAAAUACUGGCUCCGUCACUACGUAAGGUUCAAAACUAUGGUGCGUUGACCCACAGAAAAAAAACUUCUUUAAUAAUACCAUAUGACAAAAUAGUCUCUAUAAUUUGUCAAUUAAAAAUAUGGUACAGAAGGAUAUUUUUGUAAGGACACAUAACGGCAGAGGUGUAAAUUUGAGCAUAUGCUUUGAAAUUAGGGCAAAUCUGAAUUAUGGAUUCAAGUUAGGGACACAAAUUUAAAAGGCCAUUUUUAAAUGUCAAGUUUUAAACAAAAAAUGGUAAUGAAUGACUAAAACUGCCAUGUCGUAAUUGUAUAAUAAUGAGCAACUAAACCUACGAGGUAGUUCUUAUUGGCUGGUUGAUGUCAUUGUAUGCACUUACAAGCGGGAUCAAAUCAUUGGGAAUCAUGUCAACGUACAAUGAAACAAUGAAUUAGAUUAUUAAAAAAAACAAUGAAUUGGAGAUUGCAGCAACAACAGGUUACACCAACAGACUGUAUCUUGUGCAACGAACCUGAAGAAUAAAUGUUGUAUGCAAUAUGGGUGGGCCGCAGACUGGAGAAAAAUGUGGAGAAAUGCCAAAGCAGCUCACGCAUGAAGAGCUAGUCCGGCCGGGGAGCACAUGCCGCCGGUUUCGCCGGAAAACUGGGAGCGCCGCUCGCCGACCGACGGACCGACGAUGACGAGUGGACCCGGAGGCACCUGCUCCGUUUCAUAUUUGUUAUCUUAUCUUACAAAGAACAAAUGCGUCCGGUAGCAAUUAUCUACGUAGUAUUGUGCUCAGAUCAGCACUGUUGUGCCUAACUUUAGAUCUCUCUUUUUUCACCAGCUUUGGUGGGUAAAGAAAGAAAGGCGAUUGAGCCAUGGAGGAUAUAUACCUCUAACAAACAAGCAUCAUCAAAUCCUGUGGAUUGCUGCCAUAGUUUUUAGAUAGCGUGCGGUGCUCCGCCCACCAACUCAGUUGUGUACUCUAAAGUCCAAAUGAGCGGAUCAUAGCAGAGUACCCACGGUUUGCACCCAAAACCGUGCAUGGCGGCAACCUUUUUGCUCGCUAUAAAUACACGGCUAGCUCCUCGUCUGGAUGCAUCGAGCAACAACGAACCAGCCAGCCCACACCAUCUCACUCGAUCGCACUCAGCCGUUUCUGUACAAUAUCACGGUGAAGAUGUCGUCGUCGGCGGCCACCGUCACCCGCGCGUCCCUCGACCACAAGCUCGCCCUCGCCAAACGCUGCUCCAGAGGUAGUAACCACUGACCAGGAUGCACUUCUUCAGAGCUCAGUUGUGUGCUGAUAGUCUGAUACUAGCGGUUCAUUCUUUUUUUUCUUUUAAUCUUUCCUAGAGGCAACGUUCGCCGGAGCAAAGGCUGCGGCCGUCGCCACGGUCGCGUCGGCAGUCCCCACGGUGAGCUCCUCCGUCCAGGAAUUGUUGUUGAUUUCCAUGCACGUUGGACUGUGGUUUCCAUAACUGAACUACUAUUAAUCACGCAGCUGGCGAGCGUGAGGAUGCUGCCGUGGGCCAAGGCGAACCUCAACCCCACCGGCCAGGCGCUCAUCGUCUGCACCGUCGCCGGGAUGGCAUACUUCGUCGCCGCCGACAAGACCAUCCUCUCGCUGGCGAGGAGGCACUCCUACGAGAGCGCCCCUGACCACCUCAAAGACACCUCCUUCGGUGGCGCCGCCGCGGCUCCGGCUCGUCCCCGUCCGCGAUCAUUCUUCAGACCUUGAGCUAGUAGUAGUAGAGGGGCCAUCAAGCAAGCACUUGUGUGAUUAUGGAUGAAAUGAAAUAAUGUUGCCACCUUCUCCAUCUUAGUAUCAUUCCAUAUAUCUUGAGUUAAUAACAACUAGUUUUAAUUUUGUACGACCCUGGUUCAUGUGCCAUGGCUCGUGUUUUCCUUAUGAUGAUUACCAGUUGACAUGCGUCAGAGCAUUGCAAAAUGCCGAGAUAACACCGUGGUACUAGUUAAAUCUUUUGAUCCCCUGCUCCUCCCCUGUUCUGUUCCGAAAUGCACGUGAGGAUCAUGACACCUCACCUCACACGAUUAAACCUUUUUCAAAAGAGUCUUUCGCCCCCUUUUCGAAUAAAGCCACAAUCGGUCGAACCGAUAUAAUAUGAUGAGACAACCCUCAUGCAAACAAACUAAAAGUAAAAUAAAACGGUACUGGUUUGUUGGCACAAGAAUAACUGAAGGCCAGUUUAUUUUUUGCCGGCUUCUAGAAUAAGAUGGAAUAGGUUGCCUCCUAUUCUUGCUUAUUUCAGAAGUCCAACCAAAUUAAUUUUCUUAGAAAGCUAAUAAUUAAAUUGUCUAAUAUGUUUUUAAAAAGAAAUUGAAUUAGGCUUUUAGAAUAAAAUGGAUAGAAGGCAGCUUAUUUUAGAAGUCUAAAAAGGCCAAAAAAAUUGUCUCUAAGUCAACAUUGAGCAUGAAACCAGGAGACACCAGCCCUAACACAAAACACCCACUACUACUGAACAAGAUUAGAGUUGAGCCGCCUGGAGAAACCACCGGUCGCCAGUUAUCGCUAAUUCUCUUGGUGUCAAUCGCCUCAAAGCGGAACUAGACUAUCACAUGGUGGGAUUCGGAGGCAGCUAUCUUCGCAGAGUGUGUGGAUGCUAGUAAAAUGUCUCUCUACAAACGGUUUCAUUUUUAUUCGGUCUGGUGUGGGUACUACAAGCAGCAUCAUUUUAUUUAGUCGCCUCUGAUGACGCCUGUGUGCAUCCAUGGCUGAUGAUGUCUUCUAAGCAUAGUGAAUUUUGGUUCCAUGCAUCAACUUGUACCGGUUAGUUUGUUUAUGGCCAUUUUUGUUGGAGUCGGAGUCAUUAGAUCGAGGGCGAGGGGUCAGAUCCUUCUGGAUCCGGCGCCCGGACGCCGUCGGCCAGCGCAGGGUGGUGGUACUCGUCACUGUUUAGAUUGAAUCUUCAUUGAUCCAAAUACCCGCGGUGUGCUUCUCUCCUGCGGUUUUCUGGCGUUGCCGGCGUGGCCGCGGAUGAAGCUGGUGGAGAAGAUUCAGGUACGGGGGAACCCAUUGGUCGGCCCUGGCCGGCCGCGCCGCCGACGACGCUCAAGAGCGCCGUUGUUCUUCCUGGAGACGUCGGUCUAGGUCUGCUCCUCCACUUCCUACCUCACUGCCUCUCGGGUGAAAACCCUAACUCCGGUGGAAGGCGGCGGCGUCCUUGACGUCGUGACCUUCCUGAAGGCGUCGCCUUGAGGGCUGAGUUGUGGCGGGCACUAUGUGGGUCCUGGGCGGUUGCUGGUGGUGGGCACUGCUUCGGAGGAAACCCUAAGAUCUGACUUUUCAGAUCGUACGAUGGCGGUACUGCGGUGCCGUUUCUCUCUUGGGAGCAUUGUUUGUGGAGCAGCGCUGGAUGACAGAGGCAGGAGAUGGAGCAGCUUUGUGUGGCCCGAAGAUUUGGUGGAACUGUCAUGUCAUGCCUGGCCGACAGGUGCUACGCUGAGUCAUGACUGGUUGGUAGGUGCUACGAACGACAGUUCUUCCAGAAUCUUUGUGUUUCGACGAAUGAGCGCAGGGCGGUGGCGCUGUUUGGCGCCAUGGUGGCGCCGAUCAUCUUGCACAAAGCUUUCGGUGGAGAUGUCAAGUCAUGCCUGGCCGACACGUGCUACGUUGUGUCAUGCCUGGUCGGCAGGUGCUACGCACGACAGAUCUUCCAGAAUCUUCGCGUCUGGACUGACGAGCCGUGGUGGCGUCUACGGAUGGACGGACUGGCAAGGAUGAUACACAUCUUUUUACAAAAGAUGGGUCAGCGCCUGAUGAUGAUGACGGCGUCUAAAACGUGUACAUGUGGUGUACGCUUUAGGUGUGUUGCACCGGCUGUGAGUUCCGAUACGUUAUGUGGAUGGAUCGAUGAGGGCACCGGUUUUAGAUAUGGGGAGUGAGAGCACUACACAUUAUCGAGUUUUGUAGGUGUGAGUGAUGAUUUCGGAUGGUUUGACGUAUGUUUUUAUUAGACCUAUAUUAAAUAAUUAAUAAAGAUGGUCGUAUGCAUCGAUUGAUACAGAGACCGGGGUUAAACCUCCUUUUCCAAAAAAAUAAAAAAUAGAUUGAGGGCGAUGAGUGACGUUUCUAUGCAGCCAUUGCGGAAGUUGUCUUCUCCGUUAAGUAUGGAGUCUACGUUGGUAGCAAGAUCGGCCUCUGACAUAUCUAUUGUCAUAUGUUUGACUAUGAUAGUCUGGUUGGGCGUGUUGCUACAGUUUUCAUCUGGUUUUUCUAAAUUAACAGGAUAAUUUUUUUCUUCUAAAUUAACAAAGAUGGCAAGUGUUUUUAGCGUCAUCAUAAGAAAAUGGAAAUCAACUACUCCGGUAACUAUCAUGCACUCCCGGGAAUAACGCCAGCUAAACAAGCAAAGGUUUUGCACCGAACCGCUGACGGGAUUGCCGAGCUAGCUAGGGCGAAAACUGGGAGCGCCAGGACAGGCACAUCACAUGGCCAACAAAACGGAGUGCACACUGACUGACACUGCACUCACGCACAUGCUCCUACAAAAUGGAUCGAUGCCUCCUCUCGCUGAAAAGAAUCACCUCUUGCUCUGCCCAUCUCAUCUUGGUCUCACUCACGCUAGUAAACCUACUGAUCCUUUACCAAACUCUGCUCUCGACAUGUCUACGAUGACCCGUGCCUACCUUGCCGCCGCCAAGCGGUGCCGCAUAGGUAACCAACGAGGGAGCCGGUCCCUGCCUCAGCCCAACAGUGCUCGUAUAUACCAUUCUGUUGUGCAUUGCAGCUUACGACGAAAUAGGCUCGCGUUCCGUUUUAUAUAUAAAACAACGAUCACAUACAAUCAUACGAUUACAAACACCACCUCAGACAACCUAAGGCUAGAUACACAAAUGCUGAAGAUAAGUAGCAAGCACACAAAGGAUAAGCAACAAAGCAACACUUGAGGUAGACAGAGAUAGACCAAUCGUCGAUAAGGUGAGGCCUUACAGGAGUCCGGCGCUUGGCCAAUCAAAAGCCGCCGUGUACCCAUGUCCGGGUUGGGGCGAGAGCAGCUUAGGACCGUCUAUUGAUUACUCCACAUUAAAAACACAUAUUUCUUCCUACUAGUUUAUUAAUAGUUUGUAUUAAAAAUGUAGAUUUAUUACCCUGUUACUUCACGUUAAUUACUCUCUCCGUCACGGUUUAGAAGGCACGGUUAAACUUGCGUGCGUUUUCAAAAUAGACAAGGUUUAAGGCGGGAAAGCAAUUACUCUUAUUAAUUAGUACUAGCACUACUCAUGCAUGCGCCCUCCUAAUUUGCUGCUCAAGCAUUAGUACUCUUAUUUUUUCCAGUUGAUUAGGCGCAUUAGCAUAUACACCUACUACAUCUCACAACCAAUCGUUGACUACCUUGAUCCGAGAGAUUUUCCAAACGUGCCUUCUAAACCGAGGAAGUACCUCAUUUGAUUGAAAGAGGAAAUAACUUGUGACUUGUUCUCAUAGGCUAACUAACCAAAUCAUAGGAUCUAACACGAGACCGGAUAAACACCGUGCCCCCGCCGCGUCUAUCUAUAUAAGCUAAUCCCUCGACUUCAACCAAUUCCCAUAUGUAAAAUUUAUUUGUUAUUGAAGGGAAAGCCGUUCCAUCCGUUCUUGAAUAGCUUCCUUCAAAAGGAUUUUCACCCAGUCAUACCUAAUCCAUAAUGAAGCUGAAUGGUUUUUCUAGGUCCAAUUCCAUCUAUUUUUUUAGACAAUUCUCAUUGUCGCACCUAAAAUUACGAGAGUAAAUAUUUCUUUAUAAGUAUACGUCAAAUGGUGGAAGAUUGAUUCAAAUAAGUGAAGGUUGAUUUCUAUUCAACGGAAGGUAGAUUUUCUAUUUGUGGAAGGUUAAUUUGGCUGAGUUGAUUUCUUGAAAAUCAUUAAUAGAGGCGGAUGUUUGCACCUACAAUUGAAUGGCCGACUCCUGAUUAUAUCCACCGACAUGGACGGAUUCACGCCCCAGAUAGAAGGAGCGACGGCCUAGGGCUUAGGCACAUCUCCUUCGUAUACUGUACAAUUGUAGCUACAGUAAAUGCUAUAGUCAACGAAGUCUACCUGUCCUCGACAACCGUCCACGGACUACGUCCGGACAUAAAAACGGAUAUAUAUCGAAACUAUUGGCGGGUCAGCUUUGGAGACGCCCUAAGGACGAGCUGAAGAAACAAAAUCAACAUCUAAUGGAGAUUUCGGAACAUCAAAAUAAUAUCUAUUCUGGGUGAUUUUUAUCAAAACUUAGGUUUCAUGUGAUAUUCUCUCUCUCAACAAACAAAAAUUUAGCACUCAACCACUAGUCAAAUUGGGCUGAUUUCCGACGCGUCUAACCGGGUUGGGUAGGACGAAAACUCCCACACACACAGACAAAUCUGAAGUGAGAUGGUGUGCACGCUAAGAGCAUCUCUAGUAGUACCCUCAAACCCUCAUACCAGUUGAAGGGUUGAGAAUUGGCAUUUUUUGGCACUUUUAAGGAUUGAAAAACAGGGGCAAAGACUAGAACCCUCAAACCCAACCCUUAUAACAGAAUACUCCGUUAUAAGGGUUGAAUUUGAGGGUUUAGUCUUUGCCGCAACCCCAACCCUUAAAUCUGUCAUUUGACAUAUCACAAUUAUCACUAGAAAAACACAAUCAACCUUGAAACAAACUAGGAAAUGAAAAUCAUUGAUGCAUGGUUUAAUAGUUUACAUCAUAAAAUCAUCAUCUUCCCCCUCUCAUCGGCACCAUCACCAAAAAGUUGCACCUCAGCGCCAUCUCCUAGACCACUUCCACGUCCAUCAAGCACCUCCAUUUUCGCCGGUGGUGGAGUCCUCCACACUGCCAUCGCCACCACCACUCAUCGGAGUAUCACCUCGAAGAGUAGAGGACGCACCACAGAAUAUCCUCUUCCUCUCCGCGAUGUCCUCCUUGUACUCCUUCCACCACAUCAAUUGGUCUUCAUCAAUGUCCUUAUUGGACAUCAUUAUGUGCUCCUUCUCUUCCACCAUGAGUUCUUUCCAUGCCUUUGCUUCUUUGACCUUGAUCAUCCUCUCCUCCAGGUCGGCCUUGCGCUUGGCUUCUUCACGCCUUGCUUCAACUUGUGCAAGCUUCACCUCUUUCUUAUUCUCGUUGAUAAGGAGCUUUGUCUCCAAUGUCUUCAUUAUCAAUGCCUUCCUUGACUUCAUCAUAUGUUCCAUCUUCUCCCUUAUGCUUGACGCCUCUCCUUCCAUCUUCUUGCUUAGCUUAUCCUUCUUGGUUCCCUCGGGCUUGCACUCGUUCCUUUCCUCCUCAUCACUAUCAUCCAUCCUAAGCAUUGUCGACUUCUUGGGUGCGGUCUCUUGAUCCCUCAACUUCCACUUGUCAUAAGUUUAAAGAAUUUUCCAAACAUGCUUAAAUGGAAAUGCUUUGCCCUUGGAAGCGGCCAUCUCCUUGUACCUCAAGUCGGCAAUUGCCUCCUACAAACCCACCAAUAGCAUAGUAAACAUACAUAACAAUAGCAUAGAAAAUCAAAAUAAAUGUGAAAAACACAUAUGUACUUACAUAGUCACUCUCCACGGUCCCACUAGGCGGUGCAUCCUUCACUUGGUCCAUUGCCGCACUCCAACGAGCACAAUGGGGCUUCAUCAACUCCCACCGGCCUUGUAGCGACAGGUAACUACGAGCGUCGUACCCACCGGUCUUCGGCUUAAUCUUGCAAUAGAGGUCCUCUAUGCAUUGCCAAUAGAGUUUAUCGGUUUGAUCGGCACCGGUGCUUGCAUCCAUUCCCACAUGUGCCCAAGCACGAACCAAGAGAAUAUCUUCGUCCUCGCUAUAGUUUGUCGAGCGCACGGUGUGUUUUCCAACGGUGGAGAACGCCUCCUCCUCUAUCUCGGUCACCUCCUCCUCAUCUUCCCCUUCCUCCUCCUCAUCACCCUCUUCCUCCAAGUCAUCACUAAACCCAAAGGGUUCGAGAGGAGGAGCCCCGAUGUCCACCUCCGCGUCUUCGAGAAGCCCCAUGAAUGAUGUCAGCGNNNNNNNNNNNNNNNNNNNNNNNNNNNNNNNNNNNNNNNNNNNNNNNNNNNNNNNNNNNNNNNNNNNNNNNNNNNNNNNNNNNNNNNNNNNNNNNNNNNNUUUCAAAUCAUGUUGACAAGACGUUCCGAACAAGAUCAAUACUGGUUCCAUUUGAAUUACUUUUUAUUUUAUAUAUUUCAAUUGUCUUUUGAAUCACUUUCAUAAAACUAAAGAUAGUUUUGUUAUUUCAUACAAGUGUUAUUGAAUGUUGUGUUAAUUUCAAAAAUGUAUUUCAUCAUUUACAAAAAACUAAUUUCAGUCAUUUUAAACAUUAAUUUCACUGUUUUUAAAAGACACAUUUCACUGAUUCGAGAAAAUAAUAUUCCACUCAUCUCCAAAAUAUGGAUCUAGGGCCAUCAAAAAUGAUGGAUUUAACUCAUCCCAAAAUGUAUUUUUCACAUUUCAACAAAUUGAUUUCACUCAGUUCAUGAAACAACUGAUUUUACUCAUUCGAUACAACUGAUUUCAGUCGUUUCAAUUGAAANNNNNNNNNNNNNNNNNNNNNNNNNNNNNNNNNNNNNNNNNNNNNNNNNNNNNNNNNNNNNNNNNNNNNNNNNNNNNNNNNNNNNNNNNNNNNNNNNNNNNNNNNNNNNNNNNNNNNNNNNNNNNNNNNNNNNNNNNNNNNNNNNNNNNNNNNNNNNNNNNNNNNNNNNNNNNNNNNNNNNNNNNNNNNNNNNNNNNNNNNNNNNNNNNNNNNNNNNNNNUAUCGCUUCGAAUAACUCAUUUAAUGUAUUUCAAAAAACCGAUUUCACUCAAUUCAAAAUACUAUCACUUCACAAAUCAAAUUCGCCCGCUACAUAAAACAGAUUUCGCUCGUUUCAAAAAUUAGAUUUCACUUAUUUACNNNNNNNNNNNNNNNNNNNNNNNNNNNNNNNNNNNNNNNNNNNNNNNNNNNNNNNNNNNNNNNNNNNNNNNNNNNNNNCGAUUUCACUCAUUCAAACAAUGAUUUUACUCAUAAAUUAUAAAACAUGUGAAUGAUGAAUGUUAUGUCGGUACAUUCCUGAACCGGAGAAUAUAAAAAAUGGACUGCUAUCAAUACCGGGUUACACAUAAAUUAUAAAACAUGUGAAUGAUGAAUGUUAUGUCGGUACAUUCNNNNNNNNNNUGAUUUCACUCAUUCAAACAAUGAUGUUACUCAUUCAUAAAAUUGGUUUCACUCAAUUUGAAAAAAACUGUACGCAAAACAAAUUCGUUUCACUUAUUUAAAAAAGUCAUAUGUACGCAAAACACAUUUCACUCAUUUAAAAAAAAUACUUUCAAUCAAUUCAGAAAAGCUAUUUCGGUUAUUUUCAGACAAUUUGUUUCAUGUGUAUGGAAAACAGGUUUCUCUGGUUUCACUCAGAUCAAAAACCCUAUUUCACUCCUUUCAGAAAACUGAUUUCACUCAGUUAAAUGUUCAAGUUUAAACAUGUUUGAAAUAUAUUCAAGAGGGAUCUCAUUCUAACGGUUUUGGAGCCAAGAUUUCAAAUAUAUAUAUANNNNNNNNNNNNNNNNNNNNNNNNNNNNNNNNNNNNNNNNNNNNNNNNNNNNNNNNNNNNNNNNNNNNNNNNNNNNNNNNNNNNNNNNNNNNNNNNNNNNCGCCACCAAGGUGCGAUGGCUCCAAUACUAAGUCCUUUCACGAGGACAACUGCCGUGACAAAACCACGACAGACGUGAUGCCUAUAUGUAUGAUCAUUGCCUUAGAUAUCGUCAUGACUUUGCGUGGUUCUAUCAAUUGCUCGACAGUAAUUUGUUCACCCACCGUAAUAUUUGCUAUUUUGAGAGAAGCCUCUAGUGAGAACUAUGGCCCCGGGUCUACUCCACUCCAUAUUUUCAGCCUUACUCUUUUACUUUGUUGCACUUUCCGCUUUCAGAUCUCACUUUGCAAUCAAUCUUGAAGGGAUUGACAACCCCUUUAUAGCGUUGGGUACAAGUUCUUUUGUGUUCUUUCAGGUACUCUGGACUUAACGAGAUUCUCCUACUAGAUUGAUACCUUGGUUCUCAAACUGAGGGAAAUACUUACUGCUCCUGUGCUGCAUCGCCCUUCCUUCUUCAAGGGAAAAACCAACGCAAGCUCAAGAGACGAUAGAAGAUCUCUGUCGCCGUAGCAUAGGACAAGAGGAGAAGAAAGAGGAAAAAUGAAAAGAAGGAAGAAGAAGAAAAGAAUAAGGAGAAGGAGAAGGAGGAGGAGAAGGAGAAGGAGCCCUCCUUCUUCUUCUCUCCUACUUCUUCUCCUCCUCCUUCUUUUCCUUCUUCUGGUCCUUCUUCUUUUCUUCUUCUUCUCCUCUUCCUUCUCCUUCUCCUUCUCCUCCUCCUCCUCCUUCUUCUUCUUUUUCUUCUCCUUCUUCUUAUCUUCUUGCUUCUUCUCUUUUUCCUUCUACGUAGCUUAUUUUCCCCAACAUAGACAUAGACAUACUUAGCUAAUUGUCCUCCAAAAUGACACAAUUAGCUUAGUUAGGUAAAAACAUCAUCAGAACCUUGGUUAGCUCAUUAAAAUGACUAAUUUAGCUCCAAAAUGACAUAAUAAGCUCAAAAUGGCAUAAGAACCUUAUUUAGCUCGUGAAUAUUAUAUACUUAGCUUGUGUUCCUCUAAAAAGACAUAAUUAGUCUAUUUAGCUCCAAAAAGACAUACUUAGCUCAUAAUCAGCUAUUAAAUAGCCUAUAAUUAGCUUAGCUAGCUCCAAAAUGACAUAUUUUACCCAAGUUAGCUCUAGAAUGGCGUAUACAUAGCUUGGCUUCCACCUAAAUGACAUAAUUAGCUUAGUUAGCUCCAAAAUUGCCUAUUCAAUAAAAUAUGACCUAUACUUAGCUAAUUAUCCUCCAAAAUGACAUAAUAAGGCUAUGUAGCUCCAAAAUGAGCUAUUCCACCUAACUUGGCUAUUAAAUGGCCUAUAAUUAGCUUAGCUAGCUCCAAAAUGGCUUUAUAAUCAUAGUUAGCUCCAAAAUGACAAAUUUUACCCAAGUUAGCUCUAGAAUAGCCUAUACUUAGCUUGGCUUCCACCUAAAUGACCUAAUUAGCUUAGUUAGCUCCAAAAUGGCAUAUUUAAUAAAAAAAUGACCUAUACUUACCUAAGCUCUCUUCUAAAUGACAUAAUAAGGCCAUGUAGCUCCAAGAUGACCUAUUCCACCUAACUUAGCUACUCCCUCCGUUCCUUGAUAUAAGGUGUAUAGAUUUUUGAGAAAAACCCCGAAAUAUAGGGUGUAUUGCGUUGCACCAUUCGUAUGGAUAAUUCUUUUAGUGAUUUGAUUAAAUUUCCUUAUAUAUGGGAAGCUCCUCUAUUUUCUCGUGUCAAUUAGUCACGUGUAAUCUCAUCCAAACCUUGUGAAAUUUUCCCUCCACGUGCAUUCUUUAAUUUUCGUGCCAAAAACUAUACACCCUAUAUUUAGGAACAGAGGGAGNNNNNNNNNNNNNNNNNNNNNNNNNNNNNNNNNNNNNNNNNNNNNNNNNNNNNNNNNNNNNNNNNNNNNNNNNNNNNNNNNNNNNNNNNNNNNNNNNNNNUGUUGCUUGAUAAAUGGAUCACGUCAUUAGGAGAAUCACGUGAUGGACUAGACCCAAACUAAUAGACGUAGCAUGUUGAUCGUGUCANNNNNNNNNNNNNNNNNNNNNNNNNNNNNNNNNNNNNNNNNNNNNNNNNNNNNNNNNNNNNNNNNNNNNNNNNNNNNNNNNNNNNNNNNUGACCAUGAGAUCAUAUAACUCACUGACACCGGAGGAAUGCUUUGUGUGUAUCAAACGUCGAAACGUAACUCGGUGACUAUAAAGAUGCUCUACAGGUAUCUCCGAAGGUGUUCGUUGAGNNNNNNNNNNUCCCUGCGCUCAUUCGUCCAGACACGAAGAUUGUCGAAGAGCUGUCAUGCAUAGCACCUACCAACCAGGCAUGACUCAGCGUAGCACCUGUCGGCCACGCAUGACUUGACAGUUCCACCAAAUCUUCGGGCCAGACGAAGCCGCUCCAUAUCCUACCUCUGUCAUCCAGCGCUGCUCCACAAACGAUGCUCCCAAGAGAGAUAAGGCACCGCAGUACCGCCAUCGUCCGAUCUGGAAAGUCGGAUCUUAGGGUUUCCCCCGAAGUAGUGUUGGAAUUAUGCCCUAGAGGCAAUGAUAAAUAAGUUAUUAUUAUAAUUCUUGUAUCAAGAUAAUCGUUUAUUAUCCAUGCUAUAAUUGUAUUGAAUGAAGACUUAGAUACAUGUGUGGAUACAUAGACAAAACACUGUCCCUAGCAAGCCUCUAGUUGGCUAGCCAGUUGAUCAAGGAUAGUCAGGGUCUUCUGACUAUGUACAAGGUGUUGUUGCUUGAUAACUGGAUCACGUCAUUGGAAGAAUCAUGUGAUGGACUAGACCCAAACUAAUAGACGUAGCAUGUUGAUCGUGUCAUUUUGUUGCUACUGUAUUCUGCGUGUCAAGUAUUUAUUCCUAUGACCAUGAGAUCAUAUAACUCACUGACAGUGGAGGAAUGCUUUUUGUGUAUCAAACAUCGCAACGUAACUGGAUGACUAUAAAGAUGCUCUACAGGUAUCUCCGAAGGUGUUCGUUGAGUUAGUAUGGAUCGAGACUAGGAUUUGUCACUCCGUGUGACGUAGAGGUGUCUCGGGGCCCACUCGGUAAUACAACAACACAUACAAGCCUUGCAAGCAAUGUGACUUAGUGUAAGUUACGGGAUCUUGUAUUACAGAACGAGUAAAGAGACUUGUCGGUAAACGAGAUUGAAAUAGGUAUGCGGAUACUGACGAUCGAAUCUCGGGCAAGUAACAUACCGAAGGACAAAGNNNNNNNNNNGCAGGAUCUUGUAUUACGAAACGAGUAAAGAGACUUGCCGGUAAACGAGAUUGAAAUAGGUAUACAGGUACUGACGAUCGAAUCUCGGGCAAGUAACAUACCGAAGGACAAACGGAAUGACAUACGGGAUUGUAUGAAUCCUUGGCACUGAGGUUCAAAUGAUAAGAUAUUCGUAGAAUAUGUGGGAUCCAAUAUGGGCAUCCAGGUCCCGCUAUUGAAUAUUGACCGAGGAGUCACUCGGGUCAUGUCUGCAUAGUUCUUGAACCCGUAGGGUCUGCACACUUAAGGUUCGACGUUGUUAUAUGCGUAUUUGAGUUNNNNNNNNNNUGAUUAUAUGAAUCCUUGGCACUGAGGUUCAAACGAUAAGAUCUUCGUAGAAUAUGUGGGAUCCAAUAUGGGAAUCCAGGUCCCGCUAUUGGAUAUUGACCGAGGAGUCACUCGGGUCAUGUCUGCAUAGUUCUCGAACCCGCAGGGUCUGCACACUUAAGGUUCGACGUUGUUAUAUGCGUAUUUGAGUUAUAUGGUUGGUUACCGAAUGUUUUUCGGGGUCCCGGAUGAGAUCACGGACGUCACGAGGGUUUCCGGAAUGGUCCGGAAACGAAGAUUGAUAUAUAGGAUGACCUCAUUUUAUUACCGGAAGGUUUUCGGAGUUACCGGGAAUGUACCGGGAAUGACGANNNNNNNNNNNNNNNNNNNNNNNNNNNNNNNNNNNNNNNNNNNNNNNNNNNNNNNNNNNNNNNNNNNNNNNNNNNNNNNNNNNNNNNNNNNNNNNNNNNNAUAAACCCUCGCCCCUGCCCACCAUAUCCCCUGUUUUUUGGUUGUUGAAGUGUGACCAUGCCAUGCUCUUGCCACUCUAUUUCAUGCACAUGACGUGUUCGAUGAAAUGCCCGAGCCACUCUACUUAAGCUUUCUCCUCUCCAAGCUCGACCUCCAAGCUCCAUUUUCCUUAAUAUUUGUCUAGGUUUGGCAUGCACCAACUGCGAGCACCACCGUGGUGAGCCUCUUGUUCUUAUCUUCUUUUUAAAAUUAAAAAAAUCUUACUUGUAUGAUUUACAUACAUACUUGUAUAAAUUACUCACUUUCAUUAUGUUUUGUUAUUAUAUAGUGCGAUGGUUUUGGUAUCCGCCUCCGUCGGCUCUCGUCCUCUCUAUGAUUCGGAUGUGGUAUAUAUUAUCUUUUAUAACUAUUUGUUUUAUUUAGUGUUUAUGACAAUUAUGACAUAUAUUUUUUUUAAUCUAGGAGGUAUGUGAACCGGAAAUUCCAACCCACAUAAAAAUUCUUAUCGAGAAGUUAAAUUUGGUUGAAAAAGAAAAUUGAAGAAAAAAUUGAAAAUAAUUGAGGAUAAGAAUAUGGAACUGGAGUGGCAUGUCGCCGAUGUCAUCGAUGAUCACAAGAUGAAGAUCGAUGCGAUGCGGUUGAAGAUGGAUGCAAUGCGCUUGAAGAUGGAUGAAAUGCGCUUGAAGAUUAGGAAUAUUAGAAAAUAUGUCAUUGAUAAAGAGGCUUGGUAUCAUUAUGCUGUUGGGUCAAUUGUUACCUUAGUUGCGAUUUUGAUCGCGUUUGUUGUUGCAUUUAAAUGUUUUACAUAGUUGUAUGUUGUUUUAUGAGAGAAUUUUAUGUAUUUAUUUUUUGCAAUAAUAACAUUUGAUCACUACUGUUCUUUGGCUUUAAUGUGAUGAUGAACUUGUAUUAAUUUGGUCAUAUGUUCUGCAAUGGUUUUUUGAUAUAUUUGAUUUCAUAAUAGAGAUGAAUCGCCAAUGAUAAUAUUUAAUUUCAUAAUGUGGUUUUUUGAACUCCAUACUUUUUUACUUCAUUUGGUAUAUUUCGUGGAUUUACUUAUUUUUUUUGAGCUAGUUGACCUUGAAAUUGAAAAGCACUACAAAUGAACUCUGAAAAUGUUGAAAGUUGGCAUGAUAUCAUCAUUUCACCCACAUAGCAUGUGUUAAAAGUUGAGAGGGCUACGACAAAAACUGGAUGCACUUCGUGUACAAAACGGACAAUCUCUCUCGAAGUAUCAGGGUUUCGAACGAGAACUCAUCUCUUACAAAGGGAUUUGAUUUUUGUGAACUUAUUUGAACUCCAUACUUUUUGUGUGUUCAAAAUGGACCAUUCAAAGGCACAGCACAAAAUUUCAACAAUUUCUGACUUCAUUUGGUAUAUUUCGUGGAUUUACUUAUUUGUAUUGAGCUAGUUGACCCUGAAACUGAAAAGCACUACAAAUGAACUCUGAAAAUGUUGAAAGUUGGCAUGCUNNNNNNNNNNNNNNNNNNNNNNNNNNNNNNNNNNNNNNNNNNNNNNNNNNNNNNNNNNNNNNNNNNNNNNNNNNNNNNNNNNNNNNNNNNNNNNNNNNNNACAUAUUUCUUUAAGACUCCCAUGAACCUCUCGAAGGGGAACAUAUUGUGUAGAAACACAGGACCGAGAAUUCUAAUCUCUUCGACUAGGUCAACUAGGAGGUGUGUCAUUAUAUUGAAGAAGGAUGGCGGGAACAACAACUCAAAGCUGACCAGACAUUGGACCACAUCAAUCUGUAACCCUGAUAGACUUUCUCGAUCGAUUACCUUCUGAGAAAUUGCAUUGAGAAAUGCACAUACCUUCACAAUUGCCAGGCGAACAUUUUCCGGUAGAAUUCCCCUCAAUGCAACCGGAAGCAAUUGCGUCAUAAGCACGUGGCAGUCAUGAGACUUUAGGUUUUGGAAUUUUUUGUCUUUCAUAUUUACGAUUCCCUUUAUAUUCGACGAGAAGCCAGUCGGGACCUUGAUACUGAAAAGGACUUCAAAGAAGAUUUCCUUCUCUUCCUUAGUAAGAACGUAGCUGGCACGCCCUUGAAACUGCCCUCGAUGCAUGCCAUCUCUUCCUUUAUGACGUUCCUGGUCCUCCCGUGCUUCCGGUGUAUCUUUUGACUUCCCAUACAAGCCCAGGAAGCCUAGAAUAUUCACGCAGAGAUUCUUCGUCAGGUGCAUCACGUCGAUUGCCGAGCGGACCUCAUGGACUUCCCAGUAGGGUAGCUCCCAAAAUAUAGAUUUCUUCUUCCACAUGGGUACGCGCUUAUCAGGGCCGUUAGGAACAGGUUGGCUGCCAGGACCCUUUCCAAAGAUUACUUUUAAAUCUUUGACCAUAUCAAAUACUUCAGCACCAGUACGGAUGACAGGCUUCCCCCGGGGUUCUGCCUUGCCAUUGAAAUGCUUGCCUUUUUUCUUGAAGGGAUGCUUGGGCGGAAGAAAACAACGAUUGUACGGAUACACAUUCUUCCUACAGUUGUCGAGAUAUAUACUUUCUGUCUGAUCCAAACAGUGCGUGCAUGCAUUGUAUCCCUUGUUUGACUGACCUGAAAUGUUACUAAGAGCAGGCCAAUCAUUGAUGGUUAUGAAAAGCAACGCUCGAAGGUCAAAUUCCUCUUGUUUGUGCUCGUCCCACACACGUACACCUGGUUCGGCCCACAUCUGUAAAAGUUCAUCAACUAAUGGCCUUAGGUACACAUUAAUAUCGUUGCCGGCUUGCUUUGGACCUUGUAUAAGCACUGGCAUCAUAAUGAACUUCCGCUUCACGCACAACCAAGGAGGAAGGUUGUAGAUACAUAGAGUAACGGGCCAGGUGCUGUGACUGCAACUCUGCUCCCCAAAAGGAUUCAUGCCAUCUGUACUCAAACCUAACCAUAAGUUCCUUGCGUCAGCUGCAAAUCUCGGGAACUCUCUCUCGAUUUUUCUCCACUGCCGACCAUCAGCGGUGUGCCUCAACUUAUCGUCUUUCAUACGAUCUUCCAUGUGCCAUCACAACAACUUCGCAUGGUCUUUAUUUCUGAACAGACAUUUCAACCGUGGUAUUAUAGGAGCAUACCACAUCACCUUGGCAGGAACCCUCUUCCUGGGUGGCUCGCCCUCAAUAUCACCAGGGUCAUCUUUUCUGAUCUUAUACCGCAAUGCAGUGCAUACCGGGCAUUUAUCCAUAUUCUCGUACUUCUCACCGCGGUAGAGGAUGCAGUCAUUAGGGCAUGCAUGUAUCUUCUGCACGUCUAAUCCNNNNNNNNNNNNNNNNNNNNNNNNNNNNNNNNNNNNNNNNNNNNNNNNNNNNNNNNNNNNNNNNNNNNNNNNNNNNNNNNNNNNNNNNNNNNNNNNNNNNUUCGGCUCAGAUCAUUCUGGAUCCGGUGCCCGGACGCCGUCGGCCAGCGCAGGGUGGUGGUACUCGUCACUGUUCACAUUGGAUUUUCAUUGAUCCAGAUACCUGCGGUGUGCUUCUCUCCUGCGGUUUCCUGACGUUGCCGGCGUGGCCGCAGAUGAAGCUGGUGGAGGAGAUUCACAUAAGGGGAAACCCAUUGGUCGGCCCUGGCCGGCCGCGCCGACGAUGACGCUCAAGGGCGCCGUUGUUCUUCCUGGAGACGUCGGUCUACGUCUGCUCCUUCACUUCCUAUGUCACUACCUAUCGGGUGAAAAUCCUAACUCCAGUGGGCGGCGGCGGCGUCCUUGACGUCGUGACCUUCCUGAAGGCGUCGCCCUGAGGGCUGAGUGGUGGUGGAAACUAUGUGCGUCCUGGACGGUUGCUGAUGGUGGGCACUACUUCGGGGGAAACCCUAAGAUCUGACUUUCCAGAUCGGACGAUGGCGGUACUGCGGUGCCGUAUCUCUCUUGGGAGCAUCGUUUGUGGAGCAGCGCUGGAUGACAGAGGCAGGAUAUGGAGCGGCUUCGUCUGGCCCGAAGAUUUGGUGGAACUGUCAAGUCAUGCGUGGCUGACAGGUGCUACACUGAGUCAUGCCUGGUUGGUAGGUGCUAUGCACGACAGUUCUUCCACAAACUUCGUGUCUGGACGAAUGAGCGCAAGGCGGUGGCACUGUUUGGUUCCGUGGUGGCGUCGAUCAUCUUGCACAGAGCUUUCGGUGGAGAUGUCAAGUCAUGCCUGGCCGACAGGUACUACGCUGUGUCAUGCCUGGUCGGCAGGUGCUACGCACGACAGAUCUUCCGGAAUCUUCGCGUCUGGACUGACGAGCUGUGGUGGCGUCGACGGAUGGACGGACUGGCAAGGAUGAUACAGAUCUCUCUCUUGAAGGCGGGUCAGCGGCCUGAUGAUGAUGGCGGCGUAUAAAACAUGUGCAUGUGGUGUACGCUUUAUGUCUGCUGCACCGGCUGUGGGUUCCGAUACGUUACGUGGAUGGAUCAAUGACGGCACCGGUUUUAGAUAUGGGGAAUGAGAGCACUCCACAUUAUCGAGUUUCGUAGGUGUGAGUGAUGGCUUCAGAUCGUUUGAUGUAUGUUCUUGUUAGACCUAUGUUGAAUAAUUAAUAAAGAUGGCUGUAUGCAUCGAUUGAUGCAGAGGUCGGGGGUUUGAACCUCCAUUUCCAAAAAAAAAACAUCCACAUCUCUCAUUCCGGCAUCCUAUAUCCAUACUACAUAUGCAUGUCGAAAUAAUCUACGUGAUCGGAAAAUAAAAUCAGAAGGAAACGAACACAAGAUUUGCGGCAAACGGAAAUCUAUCAUCACUCAAAAGAUCAUGGAGUUGGCAGAACACAGUUUAUCAUCACCAAAAAAACGAUAUUAACAAUGCGUAGGGGGGAGGGGGCAGAUCACCACUUCCUCGUCGGACUUUUGCCCUUUGGAUCACCGACGCAACUGUAGCCGUCCGCGGUUGGCGGAGGAUCUUGGUUGUCAGAGGAGGAGAUGCCAUUGUCGCUGUCGUCUGAGUCAUUGUCAAAGAGGAUGAUGAGCCCCUUUAUCCGCCAGACCGCCAUGUCCUUCUCGCGCUUCAAUCGUGCCAGUCGGGCCUUCUCCUUCGCUGUCUCCUUCGCCUCGCACACCAAUUGCUCAAUAGCAAGCCGGAACACCUUCACAUUCUUUCGUUGGAAGCACCGAGCGUCCGUCUCCGCCGUCGUGAGGGACCGGAGGUACACCCAUGCGAGGAGGCAUUCGUUCUCAUCGGGCUCUGCUGGCAUCCUGUGGUGCCGGCGUGUAGACUACUCUGCUUCCCCUCGUCCUAGUGCCUGCCGCCUCUCAUGGCGGGCGGCGCGUGCCUUCGAUUUCGGAGUACGCAUGCGGGCGCUGCCCGACAGCGUGGACACUAGGACCCAAUGUUGCCCGCCUGGAGCAGCACCCGGUGGGGGGAGGACACGGCGUGAGGCCUAUGCAGCCCUGCAGUCGAAGUUGCGCGCGGGUCGGUAGGGUCCAGCUCCGGCAUCCGCGCUCCACCGUCUCGGGAGCGGCGGCGUAGCUCCAGAUNNNNNNNNNNNNNNNNNNNNNNNNNNNNNNNNNNNNNNNNNNNNNNNNNNNNNNNNNNNNNNNNNNNNNNNNNNNNNNNNNNNNNNNNNNNNNNNNNNNNUAUUUUUCACAUAUUACAAGUGAUUGUCGAACUUCAUAUGUAUACCUCGCCGGACUUCUCCUCUUCACCGGCUUCUCCAUUAGUGGAGCUAUCACCUUCUCCGUCAUUGGACCUAUCUCCUGCCCCAUCGGCUUCAUCUUCGUGUCGCUCGACCUCCAUUCCAACGUCCUGGUUUAGAUAUAACGACGGAGAUUCAGCUGGUUCAACGUCGGGGCCGUCUUCGAUUAUAUCUUCGAGAAGUUCUUCCUCUUCGAGGUUCCUGAUAUGUGGAUCCAUAGUUCUGCAAAAAACGGAUUCUCUUAACCUUUGUACCAAAAACCAAAGUAGGAGUACUUUUCCAAUUUGAGACUCCUAGAUUUCUGCAUAGUAUUCAAAGUAGGAGUAAUUUUCCAAUUUGAGCAUUCAAUAAGCAAAACCAAAUCGUAAAAUAAAGUAGUAUUCAAAUUAGCAUGCAUUUAAUUAUAAGCUAAUACAUCAUCACUUUUGUCCGUACAUCGUCGAAUAUUAUCAUUAAUACUCCUCGAAUACUAUCGUAUAUAUAGCAUCACUAAUAAAUCUACAACCGUAGCGCCCGACGGGUAUCGGCGCGGGCGGUGGACAUCCAAAGAGAAGGAACCAUCACAGGAUCAUAGCUCCGGUGAGAUCCCCGAAGAACCUGCCAGGUAUGCUCGAACCUGCCCUCCAACGCAACCAUGUAGCGACGGACGUGCUCAUCCUCCUCGCUGACACGGUGACGUACCACCUCCGCGGUGUCCGGAAGCCUCGGCACCCUCACUGGCCCACGCGACCGCCACCAAACAAGGAUCGGGUCAACGACGGGCUGGCUCCUCACCAACCUACGCCCCCCGGAAGGUAGCACCUUCCAAUACCAGCCGGGCGGAGCCCAGUCCCGGACAGGGCCCCUCUGAUCAAGCAGGUGUCAUCCGCCGAGUCGACGACGAGGAUGCGGGAUAGGCAUCGUGCAAUGAACUAAAAAAAUAAACUAGUUCUAUUAAUUUUUUUGCUAAAAAUAAACUAUUAACACUUAAGCAUAUACAAUAGCAAAAUUAAACUAUUAACACUUAUUUUCAUUUUUCUUCUCCUCCUCUUCUUUCUUCUCUUCUCCUCCUCUUCUUUUCUUCUCUUCUCCUCCUCUUCUUUUCUUCUUUUCUUAUACACUAUACACUAUAUACACUAUAGCAAAAUUCCUCCUCUCCUUAUACACUAUACACUAUAUACACUAUACACUUAAGCAUAUACACUAUACAAUAUACAAUUUUUCUUCUUUUCUUCUCCUCCUCUUCUUAUUUUCAUUUUUCCUAAUCUUAUUUACUUAUUUUUGUUCAUAUUUCUUCUUCUUGUAACCCUAACCUAAUUCUAAAUAUUACUAACCCUAAUAACCCAGCACAAACCUAAUAACAAUAGGAAUUAAUGACAAAAAAAUCUUUUCUUUUUCUUCUUUUCUUCUCCUUUUUCUUCCUUUCUUCUCCUUUUUCUUCUCCUUUUUUCCUUUCUUCUCCUUUUUCUUCCUUUCUUCUAUUUUUCUUCAUUUCUUCUCCUUUUUCUUCCUUUCUUCUCCUUUUUCUUCUUUUCUUCUCCUUUUUCUUCAUUUCUUCUCCUUUUUCUUCUUUUCUUCUCCUUUUUCUUCUUUUCUUCUCUUUUUUUCUUCCUUUCUUCUCCUUUUUCUUCCUUUCUUCUCCUUUCUCUUCUUUGCUUGUGCUGGCCGGAGUGUUGGGGAGGAGGGGGCGUGGGGCUUACCGGCCGGAGGUGUCGACGGUGCGCGGCGAGGAGGGCGGUGCGNNNNNNNNNNNNNNNNNNNNNNNNNNNNNNNNNNNNNNNNNNNNNNNNNNNNNNNNNNNNNNNNNNNNNNNNNNNNNNNNNNNNNNNNNNNNNNNNNNNNAGUAAUAUGAUUAAUUGAACUAAUUUUCAUGAACAUAGUCUAAUGGUCUUUGCGAAUUACGAUGUACCUUGCGCUAUAGCUCUACUGUUUUUAUAUGUUCCUAGAGAAAAUUUAGUUGAAAAUUGAUAGUAGCAAACUUUGCAGACUGAGUCUGUAAAACCGAGGAUUGUCCUCGUUGCUACGCAGAAGGCUUAUGUCCUUAAUGCACCACUCGGUGUGCUGCACCUCGAGCGUUGUCUGUGGAUGCUAUGAACAUCCGACAUACACGUUUCUGAUGACUACACAAUAGUUCAGUGCAAAAUACUUAUUGGCUUAGAAGCAAGGCACCGAAAACGUUGUAAAACGUCACGGAACAUAAGUGAUGUUCUAAAGAGAUGAAAUUGUGAUUUCAUGCUUGUGCCCUUAUUAAGAGGUACGAGACCUCCAACAAGAUUCUUUGUCCACAAAGUAAAGGAGAAAAGCUCAAUCGUUGAGCGUGUGCUCAGAUUGUCUAAGUACGACAAUCACUUGAAUCAAGUGGGAGUUAAUCUUCCAGAUGAGAUAGUGAUGGUUCUCCAAAGUCACUGCCACCAAGCUGUGAGAGCUUCGUGAUGAACUAUAACAUAUCAAGGAUAGAUACAAUGAUCCUUGAGCGAUUCGCGAUGUUUGACACUCCGAAAGUAGAAAUCAAGAAGGAGCGUCAAUAGUUGAUGGUUUGUAAAACCACUAAGUUUCAAGAAAGGCAAGGGCUAGAAGGGAUACUUCGUGAAACGGCAAAACAGUUGCUGCACUAAUGAAGAGACCCAAGAUUAAACCCAAACCCGAUACUAAGUGCUUCUGUAAUGAGGGGAACAGUCACUGAGGCGGAGCAACUCUAGAUACUUGGUAGAUAAGAAGGCUGGCGAAAGUCGAAAGAAGUGUAUUUGAUAUACAUGAUGUUGAUGUGUACUUUACUAGUACUCCAAGUAGCACGAGGGUAUUGGAUACCGGUUCGGUUGCUAAGUGAUUAGUAACGCGAAAUGAAAGUUGCGGCAUAAAUGGAGACUAGCUAAAGGCGAGGUGACGAUACGUGUUGGAAGUGUUUCCAAGGUUGAUAUGAUCAAACGUCGCACGCUCCCUCUACCAUCGGGAUUGGUGUCAAACCUAAAUAAUUGUUAUUGGUGCUUGCGUUAAGCAUGAACAUGAUUGGAUCGUGUUUAUUGCAAUACGAUUAUUCAUUUAAAGAGAAUAAUGGUUACUCUAUUUUCUUGAAUAAUCACCUUCAAUGAAUCUCGAUCGUAGUGUUACACAUGUUCAUGAUAUUGGUGCCAAAAGACACGAGGUAAUGAUGAUAGUACCACUUACUUGUGGCACUGCCGCUUGAGUCAUGUUGGUGUAAAUUGCAUGAAGAGGCUCCAUGUUGAUGGAUCUUUGUACUCACUUGUUUUUCGAAUCACUAGUGACAUGCAAAUCAUACCACAUGAGCAAGGCCUUGUUUUCAUUGAGAUGAAACAAGAUAGUAACUUGUUGGAAGUGAUACAUUCUGAUGUAUGCAGUCCAAUGGGUGCUGAGGCACGCAGUGGAUAUCAUUAUGUUCUUACUUCACUGACGAUUUGAGUAGAUACAGGAGUAUUUACUUAAUGAAUCACAAGUCUGAAAUAUUGAAAAGUUCAAUUCUGUNNNNNNNNNNNNNNNNNNNNNNNNNNNNNNNNNNNNNNNNNNNNNNNNNNNNNNNNNNNNNNNNNNNNNNNNNNNNNNNNNNNNNNNNNNNNNNNNNNNNGGGAGUGGAACAAGCGCAAAGGGGCAGCCGAUAGUGACUAUGUCGCCGAAAGGUACAAAGGUAAUCUUUGGAAUGAUCUCAUGUCACAUUUCAACCUGCCAGAAUGUGAGAAUGAAGACGCCGCAGACAAACUGAGGGCCAAAGUCAAGCAGUGGACUCUGAAGAAGAUGGCCGAACUCUUCCGUAGCUGGAAGAAGAAGCUAUGGAAAAAAUAUCUGAAGACCCAGAAAGUGCCAGUAUUUGAGGGGUAUCUAGCCAAGCAGGCGAAUCACUGGAAGGCAUUUCAAGAGUACAAGGAGUCAGAAGAUGCCCAGGCAUUAUCAGAUAAGAACAAGAUAAAUGCCGACAAGAAGAUAUAUCACCACAAGCUGGGGCCAGGGGGCUAUGAGACUGCCAUCCCAAANNNNNNNNNNUAAGAAAGAGCACGAUCUGAUAGAUAAAGGCGUCGUACCUGAACCACUCCGUGAUGAGUGGGAAUUGAGAGCAAGAAAUUGGUUUCUUGCGCAUGAUGGGUCGUACAACGAAACAACAGGGGACCUCAUCUGCAAUCACAAUCUUAGGAUACCCAGGGAGAAUUGGAAAAGGAUAGUGAAAGAAAUUAAGGAGGGAAGAAGAAAGUUCACUGCAGAUAGAGAGAAAGAUUUGCUCACACUGGUCCUCGGCAAUGACGAACAUGGAGGAUGAACGCGAGGCUUCGGUCCUUCUUACUCGUGGUGGCUUGGGUUUGCCAGAGACCAAGACACUUACAGAAGCCGAGAGAGAGCAAAGAAGCGACACCAGGAUGAGGAGAAUGACAAGUUCAACCAGUUGCUUGCCAGGAUUAACGAGCAACAGAAGCAGAUUGAUGAGCUUAGAGGAGUACCGCGCCAGGAAGAUCCUGCAGUUGAUAUUACCGGCUAAGUGGAAAAGCAGCGUGGCUGAAUCUGAGGCCCCGCCCGACGAUGAACGAAGAAUGAUAGAGGGCGGUCCCGGCUACCCCGUGGAUGGAAUCAAGGAGUCAACAUCAUGUGAACUCCAUCAGAAAUUCAAGAACAUAUCCAUGAAGGUGGCCGUCGGACAAGCUUUACCUUCUGGCCCUGAUGCACACUGGCAUGGCCGUGAGAUUCCAGCUGGCUUUGCUAAAGUCGGGGUGGAUGAAAUCAUGACGAGGGUUAAUGAUAUGGAGCUCGACAUAGCUGGACCCGAAGAUGAGAGGACACUCGGAGAAGUACUGGGUGGAGUCAUCCUAUGGGACAAGAACUACAUCAAGCUUCCAGGCUCAGCCCCAAGGACAACACCGCCUCCGAGUCGUCGCAGGUCACCUACACCUCCAUUACCUUCAAGCCCUCCACAUGACGUCAGCCAGCACAACACGAGUCCAUCUCGAUCACCGCCGCCGGACUUGGGUCGUCCGUCUCCGCCGCCGCCCGCACAUGAUACUAAGCGGAAGCGUGCCAGCAAGAACGCUUCGUCGAUGAUUUCUAAGGGAUGGAGCUCCCCAAAGCGCAAACUGUCGCCCCUCCCAAAGGUACCUCAUGCUAAUAUUCCUAUCAGACCUUAUGAUCAUACCCCCGAGGAAAACGCCAGGAUAGCAAAGGAACAACAUGAGGCGCAGAUGAAAAGGAAGGAACCCGAGCCCCGCCCGAAAUACACCGAGAAGGACAUAGCAUGGGCAAAAGACUUCAUAACCACUCCAUCACAGUAUGACUUACACUAUAAGCCUGAUGACUAUACACACACAUUGCAGAAGGAAGUGAAAAAGAGCAGGUCACAUGCAAGUGCAAGUGGGAGCAAAUCAAGUUUAACUACAAGCAAGAAAAAAUCAGACGUUCCCCAGCUUGGACAACAGGCCAAACAGUCGAUCCCACCCCUCAAGGUGUUAACCGAGAAUGUUCCCCCUCCGGUGCAGGGGCAAGCUUUUGAAAAAGCAAAGGAGUUGGCGGAUGAAUGUGGUAUCUUGGUUGAAAAUUUGCUGGCUUCCCAAGACGACAGGAUACCCAAGGCUGUGGUAGCCCCUAAGCCACAGUUUGUCAUGCGAGAGCCUUUGGUCAGCAAAGAUGAUCUCCCAACAAAUAUGCGUUACUUGCAUAUAUGGUACUUAAGUGAAUCAAAGAAUGGGAGAACGAUGAUCGUGCUGAGUGUCCCACAAGAGUACUACGGCCGCUCCGAAGAAAUCCAUAUCGACUUUGAUGAACUCUUCCAGAUGUACAAUGGCGACGCCCUCGACAAAUCGCUUAUGAGUUGCUAUUGUCUGUAAGUUUUUCAAUUCGUUGUCUACAUAUAACUUGUUUAGUUAUUUCAAUUCAUUGUCUAUAUAUAACUUGUACUCUAUUAUGCAGAAUGAAGAUUCUGGAGUGUAAAAGUAAGAGCAUCAUAAAUAUUGGGUUUAUUGAUCCAGAUAAAAUACAUAUAGCGACGCUAACUAAUUAUCCCAAGGAGACGGAGGAAAACCUUCUAAGGUUCCUAAGAGAUCAAAAUUUCUGCGACCACAUACUGUUUCCAUACAACUUCAGGUGAGGGUCUUUACUCUGUUGUGUCCAUUCACUUAUAAGUGUAAUUGAUAAGUUACUCAGACACACACAUAUAUAUAUAUAUAUACAUGUGCGGCUUCCAUUGGAUUCUGUUGGACAUUCAAAUUGAUAAGGGAAGAGUUGAUGCCUUCGACCCAUUAUCGAGACCCUUGGAACAGUUCCAAAGCCUGCAGGAUAUGCUCCAAGGGUAAUUUUAAUCAUUCUUGCGCUCUAUCGGUCUCUUUCGAUGAUUUUCUGAUAUAUCAAUUAAUGAAAAACUUAGCAAAUCAUUAUCCUUGUCGGGCAGGGUUUGGAAUCGGUUCAAGUGCGUGACUCCCGGUAACUUUCCUGAGAAGCUGACCUUUAGAGUGGCUCAGGUAAGUAGUAGUAUGAUAUACUUCUAUUAAUUUUCAAUACAUUUAUGAUGCUAGAUUAAUAUUUUGAUUAUAUAUAUUCUAUUCUCGUAAAGUGCGACCAGCAGCCACGGGGAACGCAUCUAUGCGGAUACUAUGUUUGCGAGACCAUUCGCACGUUUACCUCUGACCUCAAGGAUCACAGAUUCGACGUAAGUAAUGAACAUUCACACCUCUAUUUUUACCCGUCAUUCUUUGUUAUCAUGNNNNNNNNNNUUAUUUUGAUUAUAUAUAUUCCAUUCCCGUAAAGUGCGACCAGCCGCCACGGGGAACGCAUCUAUGCGGAUACUAUGUUUGCGAGACCAUUCGCACGUUUACCUCUGAGUUCAAGGAGCACAGAUUCGACGUAAGCAAUGAACAUUCACACCUCUAUUUUUACCCGUCAUUCUUUGUUAUCAUGAUUGAUAUUCAUAUUCAUCUCCUCUCCUUAUAUAGCACACGGUCAUGAGGACGAAGGUCCUACCAGAGCAACGCGCGAUUGCUGUUGCAGAGGAGCUUGCGGGAUUUCUGAGGACGGAAGCUAUAGAAGACAAAGGAUGAUUUAGUGUAGCUAAGGGCCAUUACAGAUGUUCGUCCAUGUAAUCGAAUAGACGGGCUCUAGUCCCGAUAAUUCAGAUCUCCAUAUAAUUGUAUAUAUAUGAUCGCUUGUAAGAUAAGUUAAUCUUAUAUAUAUAUGCAUAAUUAUUUCUAUUUUAAAUUAUAUGAAAAGUAAUUCCCGAACACAAAACAAGGCAUCACGUUAAUCUCCUGAACACCUAAACCCUAAAACCAUAAAACCCAAAAAUAAUUUCAUUCAAAAAAACCCAAAAGCCAGCAAAAUCUGAAAAUAUUUAUUCCCGGACCGUGUAACGAACCGGGACUAAAGGGCCUGCCCCUGGGGUUUAGUCCCGGCGUGUAAGAGGGCCGGGACGAAAAGGUUAGGCCUUUAGUCCCGCCACUUUAGUCCCGGUUGGUGAACCGGGACUAAAGCCCCUUACGGGCCGGGGCUAUACACCCUGUCCCCACUUGUGCUUGUUCUGAUGAAGCGAGUUCUACGAGCGCUCGAUCGGGAAGUUCUGGAGGCAGCUGUUAAACCGUUGGAGCCGGCGGGCCGAAAGGAGAUGGCCUACCCAGCCAACCGAGUUGCUCAGGAGUGGACACACGGCCUGGUGGCCAGGCCAGCUCACAAGCAGCGUGUGANNNNNNNNNNNNNNNNNNNNNNNNNNNNNNNNNNNNNNNNNNNNNNNNNNNNNNNNNNNNNNNNNNNNNNNNNNNNNNNNNNNNNNNNNNNNNNNNNNNNGCAGCCCGCAUGUGCGCCACCUUUAGUCCCGGUUUGUGUCUCAAACCGGGACUAAAGUCCUCUGCCUAUAUAUAGCACAGCCCCCCCUCUCCCCUCUUCGUUGCAUUUUUCUUGGAUGGAGGAUUGUGGGUGGGUGCUUGCUCUCCACUUUUUUUGAUGCACUAGAGGUGUUUGUUGAAAUGUGUGUUAGAGCGAUGCCGCUUCAGUUCACCGAACACAACUACGAUAUGAGAUGCCCGAGCCACGCUUAAACCUCUUCCUCUUUAUUUCUACUUAUUCUAAAAGGUUAGCAACUAUAUUUCCUCGUUUAGACCGUGCGGUACUAAUUUCUAGGAUCGUGAUUGUAUUUGAUAUACUGUCGUAUAACGCAGAGAUGAGCCAUCCAUGGAUGUACGGUGAUCGACGCACAACCGCUUCCAGAGAAGGUGUGCAUUCUUUUCGAGAUGCAACCGAUGCGAACAAGCAUGGUGGUGGCUAUAUGUUUUGUCCAUGUGUUGAAUGUCGGAAUGAGAAGGAUUACACUUCCUCAAGAGUCAUUCAGAGCCACCUGCUUCGGUCCGGUUUUAUGUCGGGCUAUAAUGUUUGGACCAAGCACGGAGAAAGAGGGGUUAUGAUGGAAGACGACAAAGAAGAAGAAGAGAAUGAUGAUGACAACUACCAAUCUAUGUUCCUUGAGUAUGCUGAUACCGCAAUGGAAGACAAUGAAGAAGAAGAUCAGGAUGAAGAACCGGAACCAGAUGAGCCCGCUGAUGAUCUUGGCCGGGUCAUUUCUGAUGCACGGCGAGGUUGCGACACAGAAAAGGAGAGGUUGCAGUUCGAGCAGAUGUUACAGGACCACAACAAAUUGUUGUACCCAACUUGUGAAGAUGGCCAGAAGAAGCUGGGUAGCACACNNNNNNNNNNNNNNNNNNNNNNNNNNNNNNNNNNNNNNNNNNNNNNNNNNNNNNNNNNNNNNNNNNNNNNNNNNNNNNNNNNNNNNNNNNNNNNNNNNNNAGAAGAAAAGAAGAAAAAGGAGAAGAAAGGAAGAAAAAGGAGAAGAAAAGGAGAAAAAGGAGAAGAAAGGAAGAAAAAGGAGAAGAAAAGAAGAAAAAUGAGAAGAAAGGAAGAAAAAGGAGAAGAAAGGAAGAAAAAUAGAAGAAAGGAAGAAAAAGGAGAAGAAAGGAAAAAAAGGAGAAGAAAGGAAGAAAAAGGAGAAGAAAGGAAGAAAAAGGAGAAUAAGAAGAGGAGGAGAAGAAAAGAAGAAAACGGAGAAUAAGAAGAGGAGGAGAGGAGAAGAAGAGGAAAAAUAUAAGAAGAGGAGAGGAGAAGUAGUAGAAGAAGAGGAGAAGUAGAAGUAGAAGAAGAANNNNNNNNNNAGGAGAAUAAGAAGAGGAGGAGAGGAGAAGAAGAGGAAAAAUAGAAGAAGAUGAGAGGAGAAGUAGUAGAAGAAGAGGAGAAGUAGAAGUAGAAGAAGAAGUAUAAGAAGAGGAGAAAUAGAAGAAGAGGAAAAAUUAGUUUAGGGUUACAAGAAGAAGAAAUAUUUUUUUUGUCAUUUAAUUUUGCUAUUGUAUAGUGUAUAUGCUUAAGUGUUAAUAGUGUUUCUUAGAUUAUUGCUGAAUUUUGCUAUUGUAUAUGCUUAAGUGUUAAUAGUUUAAUUUUUCUAUUGUAUAUGCUUAAGUGUUAAUAGUUUAUUUUUAGCAAGAAAAUUAAUAGAACUAGUUUAAUUUUGCUAUUGUAUAUGCUUAAUUGUCCGGGACUGGGCUCCGCCCAGCUGGUAUUUUAGAGUUUAGGUUCUAGCCAAGACCCGGGACUAAAGGUCCUCCUAUAUAAAACGAGCCUUCGAAGUUUCCAACCCCUCUUAUAUAGUUUGUUAGUAUAUUAGUUAAUCAAAUGUCCGUUUUUUGCAGAACUAUGGAUCCACAUAUCAAGAACCUCGAAGAGGAAGAACUUCUCGAAGAUAUAAUCGAAGACGGCCCCGACGUUGAACCAGCCGAAUCUCCGACGUCAUAUCUAAACGACUCCGGAUAUGGAAUGGAGGUCGAGCGACACGAAGAUGAAGCCGAUGAGGCAGGAGAUAGGUCCAAUGACGGAGAAGGUGAUAGCUCCACUGAUGGAGAAGCCGGUGGAGAAGCCGGUGAAGAAAUAAUAAAAUCCGGAGAGGUAUACAUAUGAAGUUCGACAAUCACUUGUAAUAUGUGAAAAAUAUUGGAGAUAGCUCUAUAUUGUAUACAUAUACAUUCAUUUGACGAAUGUUUCUCCCUCUUAGGCCUCCACGUCGAGCAAAACUACGAAACGAGGCCCGACUAGAAAGUUGGAUGCACGGACGCAUUACACAUUUGAGGUGAUAUUUCCUACGGGCGAACCCNNNNNNNNNNNNNNNNNNNNNNNNNNNNNNNNNNNNNNNNNNNNNNNNNNNNNNNNNNNNNNNNNNNNNNNNNNNNNNNNNNNNNNNNNNNNNNNNNNNNCAUAGGUUACCCAAAAGAGACAGUUGGGUACACCUUCUAUCUCAAAUCUGAGGGCAAAGUGUUUGUUGCUAAGAACGGAACUUUUCUCGAGAAGGAGUUUCUCUUGAGAGAAUUGAGUGGGAGGAAGAUAGAACUUGACGAGGUUGUCGAACCUCUCAUCCCUCUGGAUGGUGGCGCAGGGCAAGGGGAAACCUCUGUUAUUGCGACGCCGGUUGAGGAGGAAAUUAAUGAUGAUGAUCAUGAAACUCCAGUUCAAGUUUCUGUUGAACCACGCAGGUCGACGAGAUCACGCGCUGCUCCAGAGUGGUACGGUAAUCCCGUCUUAUCAAUCAUGUUGUUAGACAACAAUGAACCUGCAAAUUAUGAAGAAGCAAUGGUGGGCCCAGAUUCCAACAAAUGGCUAGAAGCCAUGAAAUCCGAGAUAGGAUCCAUGUAUGAGAACAAAGUGUGGACUUUGGAGAUGCUGCCUGAGGGCCGCAAGGCUAUUCAGAACAAAUGGAUCUUUAAGAAGAAGACGGACGCUGACGGUAAUGUGACCGUUUAUAAAGCUCGACUUGUGGCAAAAGGUUUUUCGCAAGUUUCAGGAAUUGACUACGAUGAGACUUUCUCUCCCGUAGCGAUGCUUAAGUCCGUCAGAAUCAUGUUAGCAAUAGCUGCAUUUUUCGAUUAUGAAAUCUGGCAGAUGGAUGUCAAAACGGCGUUCCUUAACGGUUUCCUUAAGGAAGAGUUGUAUAUGAUGCAACCCGAAGGUUUUGUCGAUCCUAAGAAUGCUGACAAGGUGUGGAAGCUCCAGCGAUCCAUUUAUGGACUGGUGCAAGCAUCUCGGAGUUGGAACAAACGCUUUGAUGAGGUGAUCAAAGCAUUUGGGUUUAUACAAGUGGUUGGAGAAUCUUGUAUUUACAAGAAAGUGAGUGGGAGCUCUGUGGCGUUUCUAAAAUUAUAUGUGGAUGACAUAUUGCUGAUUGGAAACAACGUAGAGUUUUUGGAGAGCAUAAAGGAUUACUUGAAUAAAAGUUUCUCUACGAAGGACCUAGGAGAAGCUGCUUACAUUCUAGGCAUUAAGAUCUACAGGGAUAGAUCAAAACGCCUGAUAGGACUUUCACAAAGCACAUACCUUGAUAAAGUUUUGAAGAGGUUCAAAAUGGAACAGUCCAAGAAAGGGUUCUUGCCAGUUUUACAAGGUACGAGAUUGAGUAAGACUCAGUGCCCAGCAACUGAUAAGGAUAGAGAGCAUAUGAGCACCGUCCCCUAUGCUUCAGCCAUAGGUUCUAUCAUGUAUGCAAUGCUGUGCACUAGACCGGACGUUAGCCUGGCCAUAAGUAUGGCAGGCAGGUUCCAGAGUAAUACAGGGGUGGAUCACUAGACGGCGGUCAAGAAUAUCCUGAAGUACCUGAAAAGGACUAAGGAGAUGUUUCUCGUGUAUGGAGGUGACGAAGAGCUCGCCGUAAAGGGUUACAUCGAUGCAAGCUUUGACACAGAUCCGGAUGACUCUAAGUCGCGGACCGGAUACGUAUUUAUUCUUAAUGGGGGUGCGGUAAGCUGGUGCAGUUCCAAGAAAAGCGUCGUAGCAGAUUCUACAUGUGAAGCGGAGUACAUGGCUGCCUCGGAGGCCGCUAAGGAGGGUGUCUGGAUGAAGCAGUUCAUGACGGAUCUUGGAGUGGUGCCGAGCGCACUGAAUCCAAUAACCUUGUUCUGUGACAACACGGGUGCCAUUGCCUUAGCAAAGGAACCACGGUUUCACAAGAAGACCAGACACAUCAAACGACGCUUGAACCUCAUCCGCGACUACAUUGGAUACAUAGACAAAACAUUGUCCCUACCAAGCCUCUAGUUGGCUAGCCAGUUGAUCAAAGAUAGUCAGGGUCUUCNNNNNNNNNNNNNNNNNNNNNNNNNNNNNNNNNNNNNNNNNNNNNNNNNNNNNNNNNNNNNNNNNNNNNNNNNNNNNNNNNNNNNNNNNNNNNNNNNNNNUGAAGACGCCGCAGACAAACUGAGGGCCAAAGUCAAGCAGUGGACUCUAAAGAAGAUGGCCGAAUUGUUCCGUAGGUGGAAGAAGAAGCUAUGGAAAAACUAUCUGAAGACAAAGAAAGUGCCGGUAUUCGAGGGGUAUCUAGCCAAGCAGGCGAAUCACUCGAAGGAAUUUCAAGAGUACAAGGAGUCAGAAGAUGCCCAGGCAUUAUCAGAAAAGAACAAGAUAAAUGCCGACAAGAAGAAAUAUCACCACAAGCUGGGGCCAGGGGGCUAUGAGACUGCCAUCCCAAAGUGGGAAAAGAAAGAGCAAGAUUUGAUAGAUAAAGGCAUCGUACCAGAACCACUCCGUGAUGAGUGGGAAUUGAGAGCAAGAAAUUGGUUCCUUGCGCAUGGUGGGUCGUACGACGAAAAAACAGGGGACCUCAUCUGCAAUGACAAUCUUAGGAUACCCAGGGAGAAUUGGAAAAGGAUAGUGAAAGAAAUUAAGGAGGGACAAAGAAAGUUCACUGCAGAUAGACAUAAAGAUUUGCUCACACUGGUCCUCGGUAAUGACGAACAUGGAGGACGAACGCGAGGCUUCGGUCCAUCUUACCCGUGGUGGCUUGGGUUUGCCAGAGACCAAGACACUUACAGAAGCCGAGNNNNNNNNNNNNNNNNNNNNNNNNNNNNNNNNNNNNNNNNNNNNNNNNNNNNNNNNNNNNNNNNNNNNNNNNNNNNNNNNNNNNNNNNNNNNNNNNNNNNNNNNNNNNNNNNNNNNNNNNNNNNNNNNNNNNNNNNNNNNNNNNNNNNNNNNNNNNNNNNUUAGAUUGAUGAGCUUAGAGGAGUACCGCGCCAGGAAGAUCCUGCACUUGAUAUUAUCGGCACCCCAUCUAAGCGGAAAAGCAGCGUGGCUGAAUCUUAGGCCCCGCUCGCCGAUGAACGAAGAAUGACAGAGGGCAGUCCCGGCUACCCUGUGGAUGGAAUCAAGGAUUCAACAUCAUGUGAACUUCAUCAGAAAUUCAAGAACAUAUCCAUGAAGGUGGCCGUCGGACAAGCUUUACCUUCUGGCCCUAAUGCACGCUGGCAUGGCCGUGAGAUUCCAGUUGGCUUUGCUAAAGUCGGGGUGGAUGAAAUCAUGACGGGGUUUAAUGAUAUGGAGCUCGACAUAGCUGGACCCGAAGAUGAGAGGACACNNNNNNNNNNNNNNNNNNNNNNNNNNNNNNNNNNNNNNNNNNNNNNNNNNNNNNNNNNNNNNNNNNNNNNNNNNNNNNNNNNNNNNNNNNNNNNNNNNNNUACACGGUUGCCCAAGAUAAAAAGAGCACCAACCAAAAUAGUGGUGUCCGCUUUGAUGCAACAGACGAGAAUGGGCACUGUUUGGAAACAUAUUACGGGUACAUAGAGGAGAUAUGGGAACUUGACUAUGGACCUACUUUUAUGAUCCCUUUAUUUCGGUGCAAAUGGGUGAAGCUGACAGGAGGCGGGUUAGUUGUAGACCAAAAGUACGGCAUGACAACAGUGGAUCUUAACAAUCUUGCAUACAUGGACGAACCAUUUAUCCUAGCCAAUGAUGUCGCUCAGGUUUUCUAUGUGAAAGACAUGUCUACAUUAACGAGAAAAAGAAAUCAGCAAAAGAAGAUAUCAUCCGAUGAGCCAAAACGCCACAUAGUUCUUUCAGGGAAAAGAAACAUCGUGGGAGUAGAUGACAAGACAGACAUGUCAGAAGAUUAUAAUAAGUUUCAUGAAAUUCCGCCCUUCAAAGUGAAAACUGACCCAAGCAUCCUACUGAAUGAUGAAGAUUCUCCAUGGCUACGACCCAGAAGAAAACAGAAAUAAUAGNNNNNNNNNNNNNNNNNNNNNNNNNNNNNNNNNNNNNNNNNNNNNNNNNNNNNNNNNNNNNNNNNNNNNNNNNNNNNNNNNNNNNNNNNNNNNNNNNNNNAGAUACCUGUAGAGCAUCUUUAUAGUCACCCAGUUACGUUGCGACGUUUGAUACACACAAAGAAUUCCUCCGGUGUCAGUGAGUUAUAUGAUCUCAUGGUCAUAGGAAUAAAUACUUGACACGCAGAAUACAGUAGCAACAAAAUGACACGAUCAACAUGCUAUGUUUAUCAGUUUGGGUCUAGUCCAUCACGUGAUUCUCCCAAUGACGUGAUCCAGUUAUCAAGCAACAACACCUUGUUCAUAAUCAGAAGACACUGACUAUCAUCGAUCAACUGGCUAGCCAACUAGAGGCAUGCUAGGGACGGUGUUUUGUCUAUGUAUCCACACAUGUAAAUGAGUCUUCAUUCAAUACAAUUAUAGCAUGGACAAUAAACUAUUAUCUUGAUACAGGAAUUAUAAUAAUAACCAUACAUUUAUUAUUGCCUCUAGGGCAUAAUUCCUACUUAUGGAGGAUAAGCUUUUGCGACAACUCGGCUCCUGUCAUGGAACAUCAUGCCUACUUAAAGCAGCAACGGUGCAUGCCUAGUAAUGUCGCACUCCGACUUGUGGCGCCUAACCUUUCCAACAACUCGGCGUCAACCACACGACAUUGUGAUGGACUUGCAACAACGAAGGUGCGGCCUUGCAAAAACUCGGUGAUUGCCAUGCAUCAUUGCAUCUGAGUUGCAGUAAUGAUGGUGUUAGCCUUGCAUCGUUGUACUCCAACUUAUGGCGGCUAGCCUUUGCAACAACUUGGCGCUUGCCAGACAACAUCGUUUCUGAAUUGCAAGAACGAUGGUGUCCGCCUUGCAAAACUCGACGUCUGCCAUGCAACACGUGUCUAAGUUGCAGCAACGACGGUGUCGGCCCUGCAACUUUGGGCCUCGACCUGUGGCAGCUAGACUUUGCCACCACUUGGUGCACGCAAUGCAACAUCGCGCCCCAAGUUACAACAACGAUGGUGUCGGCCUUGCAAUGUGCCCCGAUUUGUGGUGGAGCAUCAGUAUCACCCACAACGGUGCCACUUCACCAACGAUGGUUGUCACCGAAGAGGACCGUCGUCGGAACCGGAGGUGGGAGCACCGCCUCGGCAUCGCUGAGAUGGACGAGCAUACCAUGGCGGAGUGGCACCGACAGUUCCCGCAGGACGCCCUCGACAAGCGUAAAUUCUUCGCGCAAAGGAGGACGGAGUAAGCCGCCUAUCUUAAAGACAGGCGUAUGCGGAAGCAAGCCUCACUCUUCCAGAUUGAGCUCAAGGAAUAGUCGACUUGGUCCUCCGAGGACGAACGUAGGGCUGACGCCUUCAUCAUGACGGAGGAAUCGGACACCGGCGCAUCGGAGGAAGACGACAAGGAGUAGUAUAUCGUGUUUUAUCAUUUUUUUAUUAUUUACUAUGAACUAUCGAUGAGGAGUAACUCUAUCUAUGAAUUAUCUAGACUAUCUGACUAUGUAUAGACGGAGGAGUGAUUUCUAUCUAUCAAGACUAUCUAUGCUCACCAGCUUUAUUUUUAAUGCUUCUGCUGGAGCGGCGCGCGUAUUUUUUUUGCGGCCGCUGGAGUCAGCGUUCUGCGACGCGUAAAAAAAUACUAUUCCUGCGAUGUAAAAUAUUUUUUACGCGUCGUCAGUUGCGCACGUGUUGAAGAUGCUCUAACCGUUUAAAAAAAUUUCUGAUACCAAGCCUACCAGGUAGUACACAAGAGAAAUGCAUUUACAUGUGCAUUUCCACCGCAAAAGAAAAACAAAUUGAUGCCAUGCAGCGUACAUAAAAAGAGAGACACAUGUGGGAGCCCAACACGUCGAGAGCAGCCAUUUUGCUUCAUCGCACGAGUAGGAGCAGGAGCAGAAGCAGGAGCGCCCGCGCAAACGCAGCAGCGACCCCUGUCCUGUACAUGUGGUUGGCAGGGGAGGCGGCUUAUGCAUACCUUUUAUCGUCCGACUGAAAAGAAACGUUUUCCAUAGAUAAUUGCCACCCGAAAGCCAUUUGUUCUUUUGUAUAAAAAGAUAAACAGAAUGAAACAGAGCAGGAGGUGGCUCUCUCCCCUGGCGGCGCGAGGUGAAAGGGAGGAGGGGGAGCUGGAAAUCGACAGGUUAGGAGAUUUAGGAGUGGGUCCGCCUGAGCCUUGGCAGGCCCGAUGGGCUCUGCACUACUGCUUUCUCUCUCUGUCCUUUAAUUUCUUUUUUAAAAUUUCUUUAUAAAAAUUAGGAAGAAGUAGAAAGAGAGAAGGAUGAAAAAAAUGGCUAGAAUGCAUGCAAAAUGUUGAAACUUUUAAUGACUAUUUUAAUUACAUCUUUCCUGGUAUAAAUUAUCAUAACGUCAUUGAUUUAAUUUAUAGAAUUAGAAUGAAUGGUAUUCUUUUUUUUCCUGUUUCAACGUGCGGGCUCUUUUGAUAGUCUGUUGUAAACUGCUUAUGUGAAACCGGGAUCGAGCCCUCAGUUUCAUUCGGUAGACAGGUGUAAAGGAUGUGCGUCCAACGACGAUACCGUCUGUUACAUCGCGGCGUGGCGAUGAUUUUAUAGCACAUUUGCAAGUAAAAGUUACAGAGUGAGGCAUCCUCUUUCUAGGUUUUGGCCCCUCUUCAUUUUGGGGCCUGUGAGCAAGGAUCGGCCAACAAAGGGAUUAUCGUCAAUUAUCCCCAUUUUGGAGGAUGCGGUGUUCAUCGGCGAUGCGGGGGAUAUAAUAUUCAAAAUGCCUGCAGCAGUGUACAACGUUGAUUAUAUAUGGAGAGUCGAUAUUCAUGCCUGCAGCAGCAGUUCCUUGCGACUCUGACAACGAUCGAUGCAUACAUUAUCACUUUAUCAGGACACUAGCUCAUGGCCUGAAGAAUGCCGACGGACGGGGAUGGGCGGCUACGGCGGCGGCGCCAUGGAAGGAGGUGUCCUUGAGGUGGUCGGGUGCGCUCUCGUACGAGUGCCUCCUGGCCAACGACAGGAUGGUCUUGUCGGCGGCGAUGAAGUAGGCCAUCCCGGCGACGGUGCAGACGAUGAGGGCCUGGCCGGUGGGGUUGAGGUUGGCCUUGGCCCACGGCAGCAUCCGCACGCUGGCCAGCUGCACCACACAUGCCGAUCAGUUAGCAGAGACUAAACAACAGUAGUAAAGGAGCACUGCUCCACCACGUACGUACGUACCGUCGGGACUGCAGACGCGACGGUGGCGACGGCCGCCGCCUUGGCUCCGGCAAGCGUCGCCUCUGCCAAACAACAACAACAAAAAUUACGUCGCUAGUAUCAAGAUGGAUGCUCCGGUACAUGCUCAACUGAACUCUGAAGGAGUGGAUGCUGAUUAAUCACCGACCGACCUCUGGAGCAGCGUUUGGCGAGGGCGAGCUUGUGGUCGAGGUGGGCGCUGGUGACCGACGACAUCUUCGACGGAAACGGCUACUGCUCACUGGCUAAGUAGGUAUGGGAGGUGUGAUCGAGAGAGACGAGAUGGGCUGGCUGUUGCUUGAUUGAUUCCAAGGUUGUCCUGAAUUUAUAGGGGAACGAAAAGGUGGCGGCCACGCAUGGUUUUGGGCGCAAACCGUGGGUGCUCUGCUGAUCUGCUUUGCUCACUCGUUUUGCACUUGGACAGACACGAGUUUGUUGGCGGGGCAGAGCACCGCACGCUUUCCGAGAGCGGCAGGGUAGGCCGGUUCUCCAAAACUAUGGUAGGAAUCCACAGGAUUCAACGACGUUUGUUUGUUCCCUCGUCUUUAUAUUUUACCCACCAAAGUUAGCAAGAAAAAGGAGAUCUCGAUCGAUAUAAAGUUGGGCACGACAGUUGCUGAUCACAUCACAUGCCGUCGGUUUCACUCGUAAUCGUCGAGCGGCGCUCCCGCAAAACACUUUUUUACCGGUUCAGGAAUGUACCNNNNNNNNNNGAGGUCGCUUGUAUCAAGAUGGAUGCUCCGGUACACGCU